UGGAGCACAACAAGAACUUGUACGAGCAGGUCAAUGCCAUUGCUUCAAGGAAGGGUUGUACCCCAUCACAGCUAGCUUUGGCCUGGGUCCAUCACCAAGGCAAAGAUGUUUGCCCCAUACCUGGCACUACCAAGAUUGAGAACCUCGAUCAGAAUAUAGGAGCUUUGUCUGUGAAACUGUCGGCAGAGGAAAUGGCGGAACUUGAAUCUAUUGCUUCGGCUAUCAAGGGUGAGAGAUACGAGUCUGACGCUGGGCUUGGUACUUGGAAAACUUCUGAAACUCCGCCUUUGUCAACCUGGAAGCGGACAUGAAGACAUACCUUUGUUAUGGCAAUAAUUCCUUCUAGCUAUGUGCCUGAUGGUGGAUUUCACUAUAUUGAGAGUUGAGUGAUAUGUAAUUGUUCCAAUAAAUUUUGACAUACUAUUGUCUCUAGGGCUAUGUCAAGUAAAGUUAUAAGAAGAAUGGAGUAUCUUCAGAGAGGUUGUAAUAAAUAAAGAUCUGGUCAUGUAAAAGCAGAAUAUAAUUUUCCUUGCAGUUGAAUGCAUUAAGAGUUAUAUAUUGUACUUUUGAAUGCUAAAGUGGUCCAUUUUUUAUGUGCUACUGCUACGAGAGUUAUAGAUUGUUGAACAGCAUUCAAUUCAGGACUUAUUAAACAUAAGCAUAUAAACAUUUUAUUCUCGGAAUAUUUACAUCAAAAGAAACUCCAAGGUCACAUCAUUGUAAAGUGUAAACUAUAUCAUAUUAAUAAAAAGCAAAAAAAAAAUGUCUAAAUGAGGAAAAAAAUGUACUAUAGAAGAAGUCAACAAUGUCAUGUAAUCAUUUUUUCCUAAAAUUGAGAUUCAAAUUUAGUUGAUUUGUAUUUUGAGUUUCCUCUUUGAUGGGAAAUGUAUCUCAGAACUUUAACUCCAGCAGUUGAUGUUUCCUACUUGGAGUACUCAGUCCACCUUGAUGCAUUGAUCUUUCCCCUGAACUUGUGCCCGUCAAACAAUAUUUCUGAUCAUCUUGAAGUAAUUAGUACCAUCUGUUCAUUACUCCCUUCUGAUUUCUUGCAUUAUAGUUUCCUCUUUAAUGGGAAAUGUAUAUCAAGAUCUACCUUCUACAAUUGAGAUUUCUUAGAGUACUCAGUCCACCUUACAAGACUGUUCUUUUCCCUGAACUUUGUUCACUUCAAACAAUACUAUGAUCAUCUUGAAGUUAUUCGUAUUGUUGUCUUUUGUAGACGACACAUGCUUUACGGCCUUUUGAAUUUCUGCAUUGCAGUUGCUUAAAUUUUGAAAUUCCUACAAUGUAGAAUAUGCAGGUAGAGAAUUUGGCAAAAAUUCAACGAAUACUAGUUGUGGGCAUCUGAAAAUGGUUAUAGAUGACAAGGGACGAUGAUUUUACUUGGAAACUUGGGUUUUUACAUUCUUGUGGUAUGUAUUACUAUACAAAAAUGGUAAAAUUAAAACAUAACCAAGUUUUGGGGUUAAAUAAGAAAUUUGAGAUAACAGGUUAGCUAAAUUUUUAAAGUGAGCCAAAGCACAAGGACUUAAUACUACAUGUUUUACUAAAAUGGGACCCACAUCUCUAAAUUCAGGCCUGUCAAGUUCAUCGAGGCGCUUCGUUUGCAAACGGACCCAUUUGUCAGCCCAAAUCAUCAAACGCUUCCUUCCUCCCCUUUUUAUUUAAUACUAGUGCGGUGUGAUUUUCAAUAUUGCCCAUAAAUGCCCAAUCAUUCAAAUUUAGAUAUUAAAUAUGAAAAGUUACAUAAAAAUGCAUUACUAUCUUUGCAGUUAUGUUUUUGUAAUUUUAUUAAAUAGUAAAAAUAAGCUACAGUCUUAGCUUUUCAUAGUUUUAGAAGUUUUUUUUCAUAAAAGGAACUUUAAAAUAAUAUACAAUCAUACAAAAUGAAAAUAAAAUCCCCAAACAGUCAUCUUGCAACUAAAAGAUGGUGGGACAUAACAUCAUAAUAAAAGAUAUCUUGUUGUUAGCAUCCUAUACAUUAGCUAAACAAUCUACCAUCUGAUUUGCUUCACUGCUUACAUGCUUUGAUCAAGACUUGCUGCCAAAAUACGAUAAGACACCUACAAUCAGAUAUAACCAUAGCACAUUGUAAAUAGCAGUAUCAUAUUGGUUUAAAAGAUUAAAAAUAUUAAUAGCAUAAACUUCUAAUUCCAGUUUGUAGCAAUAAUGAUCUAUGAAGAUUGGAAGCUAUUCCUGAUCGUUUACUGAUCCGAUGGUCCAAAAUCCAUAUUAAUUCCUUACAACUACAGCAACUCCAAGAUUGCCUUUUGAAACCCUACCAGUGAUAAGUUUUCAAAAGCCAUCCUUAGGACGAGUCUCUAUAGAAUCAUAACUUCAUAUUUUUCCCUAGCCAUGGUCUGUUUGGGUUCUGAGGAGUAAUUAGAGGUAUUCAAAAGAGGAAAGGAUUGCGGUUUGCCAACAUAGAAAGAUUAGAUUCGUUUUGAUAAUUCAAUGAGGACCAACCAGUGAAAGAAAUCACAAUGCCCCAAAGAACUUGAAAAAUGGUGAAGGGUUUUUUGCUAGGUAUGCUUUUUUUUUUUUUCAUUCAUUCCUCACAGCUUAAAUGAUGAUCAAUACCAAUCUCCCAAGACAAGCGUCCAUGUAAUAAAAUCAGUAAACAGAAUAACUUUUCAAUUUAACUUGAGAGAAGAAAAUGUACAACCGAAGCAAAUCUCACGAGGAAUAGAAAAAACCACUGUUUGGAUAUAUAACUGAAGCUCAUUUCUCAGCACAUCUUUAUCAAUAAUACAAUCAAGAUAUGCCAAAUUAGGUGAGAGAAACUAUUAGGUGAGAGAUGUUACAAAUCUAAGAGAACAUCAUGUUUUGUAAAUACAUAUUUAAAUCAACUAAAACUGAAUUUUCUAACAAGAAUUUCUAAGCUACCAAACAUCAUAGUCUAUGAUUAAAGAGGCAAAACUACAGUUAUGCAGUAAGUUAAUUCUUUUUUCGGCAAAUGAAUAGAACAUUUAAGGUGUUAAAACAAUAACUUACUAUUUCAAGCAGGUGCUUAGAAUCUAAUAUUUGAGAAUCCUUGUGUUGGGCAAAACUUUAACCACCUACAAACAGGAAAACUAUUUAUAAGAUCCAGUGAAUCAGAAACAAUUAAUCAAAAAAAGAUUGCUGAAAAUACUUGGUUUAAUAUCCACUUAAGGCUCAUAAAACAAAUAUUCAAAAGGUUUUAACAAAGACAAUUUUCUUUGCUAAAAAACAAAAAAAUUGAACACAAAGCAUUCAAAAGAGUAGCAUCCCAAGAUCUUUUGUAACUCAAAAUUUUGGCCAAUGACCAACUUGGCAGAGAAGUUCCUGAUUCCUAGAGAAGAAAUUCAUUAGUUCUACAAGUGUUGGAAACCCAAUGAAGGAAAAAAAAACAGAAGAACUGAAGCAAAAAGAAAUACAUUUUGAAGAUGAAGAAAUAUAUUUUAAACAAGUGUAUCUUUUAGUUACCAUAGGGAAUGUUUUUUUUGAGCAGAUCAACAAAAUACCUACGUGAAAGACGCCAAAAAAUGAUUAAAAAGAAAAUUUGAAUGAGUUUGAAAAGAGCAAAGGCCAUUGAAAAUGACCAAAGAGAAAAGCAUACCAGGUCUCAAAAGAGCAAUUUAAAGGAAAAAAUUAAAUCAGAAUGACACAACAAAACUUACGUUUUGUCUCACCAGUUGUUCUUCACAGGUGGCCAUUUUUGCUUCCAACUCCAGAAGAAAUCCAAGAAAGGCAAAAGCUUAGGUUGAGCUAAAUAAACAAAAGGUCAUUUUCUUUAGCAAAUUAUAGGCACAUAAGUAGGUGAGAUAAUUUAAGAGAGUACUCAAGUUUUGAGACUUCAAUCUUACCAGUCUCAAAUGCAAGUAAGAAUAACAUAAAUCAUCUACAACCAGACAACACCAUGGAAAAGAAAAUUUCCUAAACAAUCCAACUUGUAAAAUUACUUAAGAGGUAAUCUAUAAGCUUAAGCAGCAGUCCAUCGGAGGGGAAGAGCUUAUAUUGUCCUCUAGGCAAUGCAAUAAAUGAAGGAAAAUAUAGGCUGCAAAACCAUGUAAAACUCAUAGUUGGCAAGGGUAGCCUCAGCACAAGUUAGGACACUACUGAGUCAUGAGAAAUUUUGUGAUUACAUCUUUAACAGACAUUAUUCAUGAAGCAACAAUAUACAUUGGCAAGUAGAACACAAAAAUGAAAAUCCUUUCCCUUACAAUGCUUGGUAAUGAACAAAACGGAAAGAUGAUUACCAACUAUCACUAAGAAGCUCUAUUUUGUUUGGCUAUGAGCUCAAAACUAUCACUAAAAGAUUAUCGUUAAGCACCUGAUGAUCCAAAUGUCCAAAUAGUGGAAAAUAUACAGGAAUACAAGAUUUAUUAUUCAAUCCUUUAUCGCUAUGUAAUAGUUGUACCCUGAGCUGAUUCGCCUAUAUAAUGGAAUAGAGAAUCAUAGAGGUUAAGCCAAUACCUUAAAAUUCAAUAACCACAAAAAAUUGCACAAGAAAGUAAUACCUUAAGGACCACUACGAGCUAAAAGAUUGCAACGACUAUGGCAGUUUUUUUCCUUCAUGAUUAGUAUAUCAAUCUAAUAAAAUUCCCCACAAAUUAGAGAUCAAAACAAAGUAAACAUUGAAUUUGCUAGAUCCAUAAACCUAAUUACCACUUCCAUACACAAUAUAGCAAGGUCAAUGAAAAUAACACCAUUUAAACAAACAAAAAUUUACACUAUAAUUAACUAUCCAAAAUAUCAACAUUUCAAUUUCUACCUAAUGAAAACAACCUCUGAUGAGAUGUUUCUGCACAUGUGAGAAGUGCCAUUUUGUUAACAUAGUUCUGCAAUUGAGUUUCUUAAUCUGAGAAGUCACCAUGAAAGAAAAGAAAAGCUUGAGUUUAGUCAGAUUUACCAAUCCAAUAUCAUCAUUCCUGAUGAUGGAGUGCUUUAUUAUGCGCUUGCAGCUAUCAAAGUAGUCAUAGCAGAAUGAAAUAGAGUAGCUCACAUAAAGGCCAAUCGGGACUUAUGUACUGCACUUGGAAUUGAUUUUUCUAUCUUCCAACCAAAUAGUGUUUGCUUAUUAGUGUAUUUCAGGUAAUAUCUUGAUGUAUUGUUGUGGGUAUUCCCUUUGAUGCUGAUCAAUUGUUGUGGGUAUUCCCUUUGAUGCUGAUCAAUCGAAAGGAAGCUCAUUAGAAAAAAAGGGAUAAUAAGUAUAGAUAUGUUUAUGACCCUGUGAGGUGAAUCGUGCACCACUCCAAAGAAAACAAAAAAAAAAAGGAUAAAAACCAUCCGUUGAUUGUAUAUCUCAAUUCCUCAUCUUGUAACCAGGAAAAAUGGAUAUGUAGAAACCAAAAAAAAGGGUUCCGAAGAAGGAAAAAAUACAGUACUAUAUAUAGUUUAUAGACAUCACCAAACCAGUAACUUUGAGUGCGGAAUUUCUAGGAGAUCAUGAGAGAGUGAAGCACAAAAAUAUAAAGAGAAAGUGGAGUUAUACAGUACCCAUACCACAUGGCCAAAUCUAGUUAAUAUUUUCUUUUCUUGACUGCAGCAAACUGAGAAAAAUUCUCAAGGGAAAAAAUUUUCAGAACAUAACGUGAACUUUAUAAAUACCAGAUUUCUGAGAAACAAAACAACAGACCUGGAAAAGUAAAAAUCAUGCUGAAAGAUAAAAUUGACUCCAAAUUUCCGACUGCUAUCAGCCAAGAAUCGAAAAAAUAAUUAGCCAGUACUUCUAAAAAAUAAUUAUUGGCUGAUUAUAAUUAGCCAAGAGAAAACCACCAAAAAAAGGCCAAAAUCCUAAACUUACAAUUAGCAAGCACCGAUUGUUUAUGCUUGAUCCCCCCCCACCAAAAAAAAAAAAAGGAUUGAGACAGGCUAAUGCAUUUCAAACAUUAGCAGUCAUGCAUUAGAAAAGCAACAAGUUAACCACAGUAUGUGACAUUAAAUGUUGGCAAAUUCAUCUGCUAAAUACAUUUUCUCACGUCAUCCUAAAAUUUCUAAUUCCCAUCCUGCUUAGUAAAAUAAAAUAAAAAUACUACAAUAAAACAUCACCAGAAUGAGAAAAGCAUCAAUUGUGUGACUACAAAAUUAUGUGCAAGUAGAUGGAAAGUAAUAAAAACUUUAAGAAUUGUGUACUACCAUCCAUAAACCAUUCACAAUUUGAAGAAAUGUAAGCUCAUUUAAGUAUCUUGUUCAAAUCUACAAGAAAUUUUAGCACCAUCAACCUGCAAAUUACAUACAAACAAGCUCAAAUUUGGAUGGAAUCAACCAUAAUUAAUGCAAACUAAGUACUACAUUUCAUCACGAACCAAAUUUAACAAAAAAAUAAUUACUACUAUCACCUUUUUGGACGAAAACAUUAUGCAUUAUUAUCAUUUUCAUAUCCAAAUAACUACCUUUACCAAGCAUCCACCUCAUUGUAAGAAUUGUGUACUACCAUCCAUAAACCAUUCACAAUUUGAAGAAAUGUAAGCUCAUUUAAGUAUCUUGUUCAAAUCUACAAGAAAUUUUAGCACCAUCAACCUGCAAAUUACAUACAAACAAGCUCAAAUUUGGAUGGAAUCAACCAUAAUUAAUGCAAACUAAGUACUACAUUUCAUCACGAACCAAAUUUAACAAAAAAAUAAUUACUACUAUCACCUUUUUGGACGAAAACAUUAUGCAUUAUUAUCAUUUUCAUAUCCAAAUAACUACCUUUACCAAGCAUCCACCUCAUUGUAAUAUAACUCCUUUCCCCUUUACUCAACCCCUAUAGCAUUAUGUAACUCACUUUUUACAUUAUCAUCAAGUAAAUAAAAACAGAUCAUUAAUUGAAGCCGUCCCGCUCAAGGAAUAAACACUUGCAUUACAGCUCCCUACCCAUCCUAAACUUGGCAUCAGACCACAUCAAUUUGCAUAAAUGAUUAUUCUAAGCAAUUAUUUCAUGUGAACAGAUACGGGCCAUAAAUGUACAUACAUAACAAAACAAAAAAUUGCAUUUUCCAUGUAAAAAUGUGAAUAUGGCAUUUUUCCCAAGGACUAAAUUUUCUCAUACUCAACCUUACCAUAACUUAAUAGAAAACUCAUUAUUCUUGCCUAAAAUCUAAUAAAAAAACCUUUUGCAGGUAGUGUAGGUAAAUGAUCUAGUGUAUUGCUGGCAUAAUAAAGCUCUAAUAACUUGACAAAAUUGUAAACCCACUAAUAAGUAUUCAUUAGCUAAAAUGAGUCUUAUUUUGAAAAUACUCCAGAAUAUUCAUGUUUUUGCACGAAUAUACCUUGGCUCUGCAUUUUUCAGUAAUUAUUGCAAUAGCAAAAUGAAAAGAAAUGCUUGCAAAAGAUCCCCUCAUCUGAUUUAAAUAAAUAAAAAAAAAAAGCAAUCUGUUCCAAUACAAAUCUAGAUUUGGUCACAAUGAACGAGAACCAAUCUGUCAUGCCAUCGACAUAAAACAUAUACGAUCCAAAAUAUUCAGUUCAAGAGAAUUAACCAACUAAUUAAAAACAUUGCCUGCAAUUCAUCAAUUUGUUAUAAUAAAAAUAAAAAAUUCACCAUAAUUGCAUUCACAAAAUAGUCACACCAAGGACAACCUCAAGAAAAUAUGUGAUACCCUAUAUUAAAGAACAGCAUAUGGUAGAAUUUGUUGAUUCACAUACCAAUUCAAGUUCAAUGGUAAAUUAGAACAGCCAAAAUUGUUCAAAAUACAAAGAAAAUAACAACUUGGGAUCCAUUUAUCUCUAAUGGCAGCUUGCUCAACAAAAUCCGCUAGCAAGGAGGCACCGGCCUUUUCGUUCACUGAUAUUGCAAUGACAAAUGCAAGAAAAAUCAGAAUGAUUUAGUAAUUUAUUCAAGACGGCACAAAAAUGGAAAAACAAGACCCAUAACUCAGUAUCAUAGAGUGCCAACAACCAACUAUAAAAUUCUUAAAUUGGCAUAUACUCGUAUCUAGAACCACAGGUACAAGAAAAUUUAAAUGCAAAAUCAUAUCCUAACAUGAAUAUGAAUAUUAACAUGACAAUGAAAACAACAACCACAUCAUAGUAGCUCUAUUAGUUUUUUUUUUUUUAAGAAGGUAAUAAUAUGAUCAUUCCUUUCUUAAAACUUUGAAUCCAUUACCUUAAUUAAUCCAAUCUCCUUAGUGUUGCUGCGGAAGCAUUGUCUGCACCACAUCAAGUCAUACUUUCUGAUAAUACCAUGGGAGUUUCCACACACAAGGCUGUCAAAACAAACCAACGUAUAACCAUAAGCAACAAGUCAAAUCAUCAAAUAAUUCAAUCAAGUAUUUAAAAAAGAAAAAGCACCAAACCACCAGGAGGAGAAAAUAUCCACGUGGUUAGGUACAAUUCUUAAAAUGCCAUAGUGAAUAAUACCGUUAUCACUACAAAAUACUACUUACAACAGCUUACUAAACUCCCAAAAUUCAGUCGAGCCAUCAACGACACAAGACUUUUUUAGCAUGAAAAUCACAUUGACCCGUCAUUAGGACCAAUUUAACUUGAAAACAAGAUUAUAUACCAUAUGAUCUAGUAUACAAGGCAGUACACCAUGAACCUACAAUUUCUUGAAAUCCAAUCAAGGACUCCAGCAUCACUGAUACAAACACCAGAUUAUACUGGUAGACAAAACCACAAUAAAUGGGACUAAGAAUGAUAAAAUAAAAAAAGAUUCAAGAACCCCACAUGAUAAAUAUUCAGACAGAAUUAGACAACUGAAAAAAGAUGAAAAGCAAGUACUUUAUUUCAGGAACAUUGAUCUGCUUUUUCUAUUUUCUUCCUUAAACUGAGAAGGUUCAAGAAGCAUGGGAAACAAUGUUAAAGAAUACACUUUUUUGAGAAAAUAACCUUAUAGAAUCUACCUUCAAAAGGGAUAAACAAAACUUACAAAACCGCAUGAAGAUGGUGGAGGAAAUUUCCAGAUUAUGUACCUGCAACAUCACAACAUCAUAAAAGGGAAAAAAUUAGACAACUAAUCUGGUAAAUAAUAGGAGAUAAAAAAUACCAAAGGGCCAAAUAUCUGAGGAAAGGACACGAGGUGUCAGAAAACACAGCAAUCAUGAUACUUAUGCAAUAGCAAUGAAAUGGAGGCUACAUUUCCAAAAGAGGGCAGUAAAUGCAACAGCACAAGUAUGAUCAGUCUGGAACAAAAUUUUCAUUAUAUGCUAAUUCAGAGCCAAUUACAAUGUCACAGAGUAACAGGCAAUAGACAUGAAACUUCCAAUACAAGCCCUUACACAUAAACUCCCAAUUACAAGGCUAAUUUGUAAGAAAUUCCUGGGGAAGUGUCACCAUAGCAAAAAUAAAAGAACGUUAACUGAUUUAAUCCAGUUCUUUGGAUUAUAGGGAUAACAGCACAUUUUCUGUGUCCUAGUUGGUCCAAACAGAGACAAAAGAAAUCUGGCAAAAUUAAAACAGAGAGGACGAAGCUACAAUCUUUGCAAUUUCAAGGCCUAUACAUUUAAAAUAACGUUAACGACUACUGAUGAUGGUCUUUUUUCAUUUAAAUAGGUUUUGGGAACAUUUUCAGUUCAAAUAUGUCUGAAAUUUUCUAUAUUUUUGUCUAAUUUCUUUCCAUAACUUUCCACAGAAAAAAAGUGCAUAUAAUAAGUAGAAAACACAAAACAACAUUUCACCAAAAAAGAGAAAUGCAUUCUUAUAGAAUCCCAUCAAUAAUACAAAGAAUCCCAUCAAUAAUUUCAAUUUCAUAACUCUCAUUAAAAAGAAACAAACAAAAUUCGAAUCAGUGAUCAAAACUUGAACUUCAUAAACGUCCAUGCACUAGUCUAAUGUUGGCGAAUUCUGGGACUUGUGCAUAAUAUUUACUAUAGUUUCUUGACCUAAUAUAAGUUUGCCAGUGUCAAGUGAAAAAGGCGAAUAAUCUGCAACUCUAACCAUCAAAUGCUACCACCACGAGAUGGGUUAAAAAUUCUUCCGAGUGCAGUUCAAGAACUCAGUAGAGGCGAACAGAGGGACUUACGUGAAAGGAACUGCUUAGAAUCAGAGGGAGAAGAGGGACUUACGAGAGCAGCACUAAUCAGCGGGGACAACACUGGCAAGUGGCACGAGAUGUCAGAAAUAAUAGGAGAAAAAGAACUAAAAGACUAAUAAACAUAGUUCGGAGAAAAUGAAGCAAUAAGAGAAUUUGAAGCAAAAAAAUUCCAGCCAACUUUUCAAUUUUGUUGUUGUCUAUCAGAAAGAAAUUGGAGAGAAAAAGUGCAGCUUUCUUCGCGAUGAUGAGGAAGAAGACGAGAAGAAAGAGAGCAUGGGUCAGAGAAAGGGAGUCGGAUGGCUAAUUCUUCCUUUCAUAAAAAAUAAUUGAUGGCUAAUUGAUGGGUUAAAUUAAAAUAAAAAAUAAACUUACAGACCCGAUUAGGCUGAAAAUCCAUUCUCUUCUCUUCAUCUGCUUAUUCUUCUUCUCAUCUUCUUCCUCUGAUCAGGGAAAAAAUUAAACAAAAAAAGACUCACAGAACCAGCUUAAAUUUCACGAAAAAAAUGUAAAACAAAAGCAUACAUGUUCUGAUGAAGAUCCAUUUUUCCCCUUUCUACUUCUUCUUUUCAUGGCUUACGUUUUUCUUUGUCCCAUUUCUCUUGCUGUAAUAUAAAUCCAACAGAUAGACAUGAUAUCUGGGAAAAAAAAAUUGAACUCAAACAGGUGGGCAUUCGACAGUUGGACUGUUGUUGGCUUGUUCCAGUGGAAGAAAAGCAAAGAGGGGAAGAAGAGAGGAAGAAAUGAAAAGAGGAAAGAGAAAGAUGGAACCUUUCCUGGUCUCGAGCUCAUCGGCCAAAAGAGAAAUCGUGUGGCUUGGAAAAGGAAACAAAAAUUGAAUGACAAAGAAUACAAACGGCAGCGGUGGUUUACCAAGGCACAGCUAUCCCAAAAAGAAGAUAAAUGAACAUGGCAACCAGGGCAAAUGAGUAAGACAUGACCCGUCACAUUGAGCUCAGUAACUACUCCAAUUUUUAUCACAAUUUAUUAGUCCAAUCGGUGUCACCAAAAGGCUGCAAAUAGGUACGGUGGGAAGAGAAAUGACCCAAAUGUUUGAAGAAAAAGGACAGCUAUUAAUUAUUGCUCUUUUGGUGGGUUCCAUACAGCAAAACACUCAGGCUUACAAACGCACGACCCAAUUUGCAGCCUCUGCAUUUAAAAAAAAACAAACACACACACACACAUGGACGAACCCACUCUAGCCAAUAAUAAUUGGCCACAUCAGCAAAACAACCAUCCCUUUUGAGCCAUGGCAUUCGCUCUUUUAUACAUAUGUUAAUAAACCCGAUACGACUUCCUGAUUAUUCCAGGAUCCAACAAUUAAAACUUUACACACAAAUAAAUGGUCAAAUUCACUUAAAAAUUGUGGGGUCAUCUUCCACAUUAAACUUUUGUACUAUCCAAUCGCCACUACUUCAAAUUAAUUUGGACCGUAAGUAAUGUCAUUACUUUCUGUGAAUAUCAAAUAUGAAAAGUGCAUUAUAUAUAUGAGGAAAAAAAAUAAAAUGUACUAGUUUUCAAUUUCUUUAUGUAGAAUAUUUUCUUGAAUAUUAAUUUUUGAUAUAUCUUAGUCAAGGUCAUUAAUCAACCCGGACCUAAUCAACUCCAAACCCAGGGCAAAUUUCUUUAAAAUAUUGCCAAAAAGAAGUUCGAAAAAUAUUGUUGAAAAGUUGAGUAUUUUUCUAUCCAGGCUCGUAGUAUCUCUGACAUGCAGUGGACUAGUUCACUAGUUCCAUUUUCUUUUUAUAAAAGCAGUCUGUUUGCCAGACACAUGGUGAGCCACAUUUAAAAAUUGAUUUCUAUCAUAAAGCCUAUCAUGUCCGGACAGAAGAUGGACUGUUUUUUAAAUUUUUUAUUGAAAGCAAGUGAAAAGUGUUGCAACUCAGGACUUGGAUAGUAAUUCUAAAAUUUAUUAGUGCACCUAGCUUUUAACUUUUCGUGUGCUUUUUAGGUAUCAAAUGGGGGAAAAAAAACCAACACCAUAUAACUUCAAAUGCAAGAUGGUACGAAAUUUGUAUACAAUGACAUGUAAAAAGUGGACCGUUCAUCACAAAGAUAUUUAUCCUAAUAUUAGAUUCAUUUUUUCAAAAAUUCAACUUUGCAUGCAAACAUGUAAUCAAUAUGCAUAAAUAGAUAGCAUUAGAUGAAUUUAAACAAGUAGCCUUCAAAUUUAAAAAUAUUUGAUUUCAUAAAGGUGCAUUCGCAAUUUAAAAAAAGUACUUUUCAAAUGGCAACUCUAGAGAACAAGAAAUACUCCUACUUUAUUUUGAUUUCAAAUCUUCUUUUGACUUGUCAAAAAAGUGAAAACACGAAACCAAUAAUGGGUCAGAUAGAGAGAAGUAUUAGAAAGAGAAAUUUGUCAAAUUGAUCCCUAAUAUUUAUACAAAAAUUUUUUUUAGUCCCUAUAAUUUAAAAUCAGUCAGAAUAGUUAUUAACAUAUAAAUUAUGAUUCAUUUUGGUUCUAAUGCUCGUAUUUGCUCAUUUCUUUUACUAAAAAUAGCACGCCUCUCUCACGUGGACAUAUUUUCAAGGGCAAAAUUGAAAAACACAAGCUUUUCUCCCCUUUUCAAGGAUAACAUUUUCGCAUAUUUUUCUUUCCAUGUUCUGAAAUUAGGGCUUUUCUCCCCUUUUGCUUCUGGUCAUGGACUCUUUGCUAUCGAGCUACGUCUCUUCCGAUGAAGAACAAGAAGAUAAACCACAGCUCUCAAAUCCCAGUUCCGCUGGAUUCCUCUCCUCACUGCCACCCCCAAAAUCUUCAUCAUCAUCUUCUUCCUCAUCCAUCUUCUUUCCAUUUCCCCCACCCCCAAUCCCACCCCCCAAAGCCCCCCAUCUCAUCGCCUUCCUCAACCCUGAAUCCACAUAAAUCUAAUGAACUUCAAGAAGAGAGGGAUGGGCAGCAAUUGCUAAAAAAUUGGGAAAGUUCGAGAUUUUUUAUAUCACUUCCAAAACCAUUGUCAUCUUUGUUCGCUUGGUUUCCUCAACCCAAAUCAUCUUCCACGUCAUCUCUUUUCUCUUCUCUUCCGUAGCCCACCAAAACCCACAAUCUUGAUGCCCGGGUUUCGCCUCCUGUGCAAUUUGCUAGAAAGAAGGUGGUGGUGGUUCCUUGGCAGUUGGAUCACACAGCUUUAAUGGAAAGGUGAUGGAAUCAAGCUCGCCGGGUUUAAUGGUGGUGGUUCCUUGGGGGAUCAACAGCAGCAGCCACACCGCUAAAGGGAUCAAGCCUCAAAUUGACGCGGGUGCUUUUCAGUUUGAGGAGAAUAUACUGAAGUAGCAGCAGCAGAAGCUUCAAUUCCACAUUUACACUGAAAAUAAUAGUGUUUUCUAGUUUUGUCCUUGAAAAUAUGCCCACAUGAGAGAGACGUGCUAUUUUUAGUCGGAGAAAUGAGCAAAUACGAGUAUUAGGAUAAAAAUGGAUCAUAAUUUAUAUGUUAAGAACUAUUUUGGCUGAUUUUAAAUGUUAGAGACUAAAAAAAUUUUUUGUGUAAAUAUUAGGGACUAAUUUGACAAAUUUUUCUAUUAGAAAUUUGUUUUCUAGAUUCUUUGGUUUCCCAAUUUUUUCAACGGGUCAACUCGACCAUUAUCACAUUCAUGUGAUUGUAGGUCUACCACGCUUCAUAGUCCAUAACGUGGAUUGGCACCACAAAAGAUGGUGUCAAAACACUUUUUUAGUUUAGUAAGAUCUGUGUAUGUAUUAGUUCCUAACACAAGUCUCUUUAGAUUUUCCCUCCUUUGUAAUUUAGAAUAAAAUAGGUUAUACAAUUGUUAUCGUCUCCAGAAAAAAAAGGAUAAGUCCCACCCUAUUAUUAUUUUUCUUUUAUCAAUCAACAACGCCUAUUCUACACCUAUUUGACUUCUAUUCUAGGGGAAAGGGAGGUCCAACUGGAAAAUUAAUGGUGAUUGAACCACAAUUAGACCAAAAACUUUCUAGAUAAAAUUUGAUCUAAAAAAUAAAUAAUAAUAUAUUAACUUAUUAUUUAAUGCGAUACAUAUUCAAAUAGAUUAAAUUUAAUAAUUUUAAAUUUUAAAUUUUACAUUUUAAAUUUUAAUUUUCAAACUUCAAUGUUGCCAUACUUACAACAACAACCUCUAGAUGGUCAACACUUAGAGUCGUAGCCCUUGCUUUUGGCAUUCCCUGGUCCAUAUGCUAUGUUGUUAUCAAUGAGGAAGCAAAUGUCCGCUAUUAAUUACACGAGACAUCAGUCAAAUCAGUCAAAAGAUGUUAUUGAUUGAACCAAGUGGGCAAAUUGAAUGAACCACCAGCUCCACCAAGCCCUUAAGGCUUCGGUAACCUUGCCUCCCAUUAAAAUGUCAUUCUUGUGGCUUUUCUUCAAAUUUAGAUCGGUGUAUUGUGCACCCGUCUGAUCCAGUGGUGAUUCUGUUCUCAUCGAUCUUUCAUAAGCUCAAUUGAGCCUUCCUGUAAUUAGAAUAGGUGUAGGAGUAAGGAUGACAAUUGAUUAAAAAAAAAAAAAAAGUGAGCAAAUUGAGCGAGGAUGCGUAAUUGACCUGGAAGUCUUGGCAGACUUGGAGGAAUCAAUCAACAUUCUCUAACUUGAAUGAGGUAAGCACAAAGGUAAGCAUUUUCCAUUUUUAUUUUGGUUUUCAUUUCUUGUAUACUCUAAAACUUUUUUCAUUCUACCCCACGCACAUAUAAUAUAUAAUGAAAUGUAAAUUUUUUUAUGAAAACAUAUAAAAUAUAUAAAAUGAAAAAUAAAUUUUUUAUAAAAACAUAUGUUUAUAUUUAUCUUUGUAUAAUGAAAAUAUAUAAUUCAUUCUACCAAUAUAUACGCAUAUAUAUAUAUAUAUAUGUAUAAUGAAAAAUUAAAUUUCUCCUUCAUCUUCAAGGCUGCACCUACAAACAACAAAACUCCGCUCCACUCAACUCUUUCCUUCGUGUUUUGUGUUUUUUUAUAAAAAACAUAUAUAUAUAUAUAUAUAUAUAUAUAUAUAUAUAUAUAUCUUUUAAGUUUCACUAAUUGUUUUGUUUUUUACUAAUAUUACCUCAUGAGAGGUAAAAAGGGUAUAAAUGGAACAACAUUAUUAUCUCAAUUUCCAAAAGACUUUUUUAAUGGUACUUUUUCGAACAUGGGUUGAAGCUAUUAUCAAAAUCUAGUUUAGGAAAAAUUAGUGCUAUUUUUCAAAAUUUAGGAAAGCUGAGUACAACUGUUAGAAAUCUCAGGGACGGUUUUUGCAAUUAUCCCUCAAAGCAUAGACCAAGACUACACUAAUCCCUAAAAAUUUGACACCUAUUUCUUAUAACUAUACUAGAUAAUUUCAUAAUUGUAUAGAAAAAUAAAUUAAAAUUUAUUAUACAAAGGUAUUUUUGGAUAUUUAUUUAAAAAUUUGAUCAAAUUAAUAUUAUUUUAAAACUUUAUUACAAAAACUAUCAAAUCAAAGGAAGUAAGCGUAAUAUUUCAAACCUUACAGUAAAAUUGUUAGAAACCUCAUAGAGGUUCCUGAAAUUAUCCCUAAUAUUUUUUUUUGUACAAAAAACUCCAAAAAAAGUGGCAGCUCAAACGGGGCCAACAAUCUACUAUGUUUGCCUGUUCUCCCGCCGGACCCACCAGCCGCCGGCGGCCAUGGGUCAUCUAUAAAAGCAUAGAUCAAGACUACACUAAUCCCUCAUCAGUCCAGUCCAUCCAUAAUUGCAGAAACUGGUAGGUUUUGUAUUUAACAAAAAUAUGAGACUUUGUAGAUUUUGAAGUUUAAGGAAUGGAUAUUUGAAGUUUAACGAUCGUUAUACAACUUUCAAAACAAAUAAAUCCAUUCUAAUUUUUUUUUGGAUAAUUUCAUAAAUCAAAUCGUGGUCACUUUCGCAAAAGUCAUAUUUUUCCAUAAAAGACCAGCUCUUUAUGGCUUUCCUCCAUUAUAAAAACAUAGUACCCAUUUUUCCAUAAACAAAUUUAUUUAUCGAAUAAAAUAAAAAUAAAUCCGUUUUCCAAUAAAACACCAGCUCUUUAUGGCUUUCUUCCAUUAUAAGAAUAGAGUAACCAUUUUUUCAUAAACAAAUUUAUUUAUCGGAUAAAAUAAAAAUAAACCCGUUCUCCAAUAAAACAUGAGCUCUUUAUGGCUUUAGAAUGAAGGGUUACUCCCUCUUGUUUGAUAUAUCUGAACCUCUUGUUUAAUUUAAAAAUCACCACCAUCAUUCUUGUUUGAUAUAUCUGAACCUUUCACAUUUUUACCAGUUUUUUUCCCUUUUUUUUUCUCUCUUUCAAUUUCCUAAAGAUUGAUGAAAUCUUUGCAGGUCCGAAUAAACCAAAGAACGAAAAUCCAAUCAAAAAGUUCGAAAUUAAAGUUUAAAGGAAUGGCAACCUCAGAAGUCGUUCUCCGGUGCCUCCCUCGUCCCUCACGUCGCAGUAGUCACCAAGUCUUCAGCAGUCAACAAGUCUUCAGCAGUCAACAUCCAAAGCUUAUAAAGUAGCACGAAUACUAUUGUAUAUAAGAACUUAAAUUUUGCAUCCGCGAGGGCGGCAGAAGUCAAUACUCCAGGAGGGACUAGGGGCAGAGGGCGGCCGCCGCCGAGGGAAGUGGGAACUGGCUAUAGAAGGUCAUCGGGUGGUGGACUAUGAGGAGAGCAAAGGAAUAUCAAUUGAGAGUGCAGCGUAUGAUGGAGAGAAAGAGAGGGUAUGUCCGUCAUAAAUGUUGUCUGAGGGAAUAAGUUGAGAGUUUUGUCCAAAACUUCCCAAUUUGCUCGAGAAUGGGAUAAGUCAGAUUUUUUAGAAAUGAUUCCAAAAAUUACAUUCCAAUAGGCUUAACCCAAGCAACAAAUAAAGGGUUUAUUCCAUUCUGUGAUUCCCAAACCCUUUAACCCAAUAGCCCCUUAAUAUUUUUUUACUAAUAUUACCUCAUGAGAGGUAAAAAUGAUAUAAAUGGAACAAAAUUAUUAUCUCACUUUCCAAAAGACUUUUUUAAUGGUACUUUUUCUAACAUGGGUUGAAGUUACUAUCAAAAUCUAGUUUAGGAAAAUUUAGUGCUAUUUUUCAAAUUUUAGGAGAGGUGAGUACAACUGUUAGAAAUCUCAGGGACGAUAUUUGCAAUUAUCCCUAAAAGCAUAGACCAAGACUACACUAAUCCCUAAAAAUUUGACACCUAUUUCUUAUAACUAUACUAGAAAAUUUCAUAAUUGUAUAGAAAAAUAAAUCAAAAUUCAUUAUCCAAAGAUAUUUUUAGAUAUUUAUUUAAAAUUGAUCAAAUUAAUUAUUUUAAAUUUUUAUUACAAAAUCUAUCAAAUCAAAGGAGGUAGGCGUAAUAUUUCAAACCUUACAGUAAAAUUGUUAGAAACCUCAGAGAGGUUCCUGAAAUUUUCCCUAAUUUUUUUUUGGUACAAAACCCUCCAAAAAAGUGGCAGUUCAAACGGGGCCAACAUUCUCCUAUCUUCACAAGUCCUCCCGCUGACCCACCAGCCGCCGGUGGCCCCGGGUCAUCUAUAAAAGCAUAGACCAAGACUACAGAAAUCGUCCAGUCCAUCCAUACUGUAAGGCCCGGUGCAACCCAAUGAGUACAAACAAUUUCACAAUGAUGCACAAAGAUAUAUCAAAUUUAAGCACAAUAAAGAAAACUUAAUUAAAGAGAAAAGAUAAGAAAUGCAAACCAAAUAUCAAUCCAAUAGCCUCUUCAAUUGAUGGCGAUGCUAACCAAGAUGUACAAGUGAAGGCUCACUCCUUCCUCACCCCAAACACUCUUUGGUUGAGCCAAGGAGUUUUACAACUAUUCUAGUUAACCCUCAACAACUUACACUUGAAAGAUCACUCACCCAAUUAAGAACUAUUUUAUACAAAUGAGGCAACAUUCACCAAGAUUUUACCACUCCAAGUGAUAGGUUCACCUUCACCAAGGUUUUACUCCUGCUAGAGAGUAACCUUCACUUGAGCAACCUCACAACCCAACUUUCCCAACCCCUUAUACAACCAACAAAGAAUCUUUCUACUCAAAAAUCUCACUUGUAAGCUUGUAUUUUGUGUUGGCAAAAGUCUGGUGUCUUCUUGUGCUUUGGGGUGUUUAUAGAAGGUGAGAAAUGGCUCCAAAAGGCUCUCCAACGCUCAAAUAUUAAAUGCUGUCAAAACUAGCCGUUGGCUUGUCGGACGUCCGAACCACCUGUCGGACGUCCGAACCCUGCGUCCAAACCACCUGUCGGACGUCCGAACCCUGCGUCCGAACGUCGUCAGAGAGUCAUCAAAUCUUUGCGAAAUUUCUCGGACGUCCGAUGCUUUCUCACGAGCGUCCGACAAAGUUUCCUUCUGGAUGUUCUUCAUCCUUUCGGACGUCCGAUAGCUUCCUUUCGGACGACCGACAUGAGUGCCCUGUUUUUGCUUCUUCUUUUGUGCCACAAGAAUCUGUUCUAACAAAUUGCUCACAUAAAAACAUUAGCCCAAAUCUACAUUUUGGUUUGUUAAUCAUCAAAACCAAGGUCAACACAUACUUCUUCUUCAGGCCUCAGCUACUAAACAAUAAACUCUGCUCCACUCAACUUGUGCUCAAAAUAUGACAGUGACCAAUUGUUCUACAAAAUUAGUAGGAUAAGCAGUUGACAGAUUUUAUAAUCCCUUUUGGUCAAAUAUUAUUUAAAUUCAUACUUUAAUCUUAAAUUUAUAGUUGGAUGGUCCAGGAUGUGGUAAAAUUUUUCAUUCAAACUAACGAUAGUAUGAAAAAAAGACUAAUUAAUAAAAAUACGAUCUCGAAAAAUUUUUAAUUCACAGUCACAAUAUGUGAAUUCGUGAUAAAUACAAAAAAGUAUGGUACUUUGAUAAUACAAUGAAGGAAAGCCAUAAAGAGCAGGCCAUUUACGGGAAAAGUUUUCAUUAAUAAAAAUACCAACUCUUCACGGCUUUUUUACCAGUCCUUCAACGUAUGAGCAAAGUGCCAAUAAUUAAAUUAGUAAUUUUUUCGAUUUAUACAUAAUUAAUUUUUUUUUGCAUUUCCACAAAAAACAAAUGAAAAUUUUUUAUCAGAAAGCACAAAAGUCAAAAUGAUUGGUUUAAAAGGGAAAGGAAUAGCAGAUAUGUACAGUACUUGUAUUUCACGUUCGAAAUGCUACAGUGCUAUUUUUGAAAAACACCCCCAACAAAAUCUAAUCCAAACGGAACCAAUUUUCAGUAUUUAAAAUACCAAAUUUGUGAAUGUGUUUUAACUGUUAUUCAUUGGUAUCCUAAAAUAUCAUUUUUUCCAUCAAAUAUCAGCUCUUUAACACCUAUUUUCCCAUAAACAAAUUUAUUUAUCGGAUAAAAUAAAAAUAAAUAGCUAUUUCCAAUAAAUAGCUGGUGUUUUAUUGGAAAAACCCGUUUUCCAAUAAAUAGCUAUUUCCAAUAAAUGGUUGGUGUUUUAUUGGAAAACGGAUUUAUUUUUAUUUUAUCCGAUAAAUAAAUUUAUUUAUGAAAAAAUAGGUUCUCUGUUAUAAUGGGAAACAGAGUACCUAUUUUAAACAUUUCCCAUUGAAUUUGUUUUGGAUAUUUAUUUAAAAAUUUGAUCAAAUUAAUAUUAUUUUAAAACUUUAUUACAAAAACUAUCAAAUCAAAGAAAGUAAGCGUACAGUAAAAUUGUUAGAAACCUCAUAGAGGUUCCUGAAAUUAUCCCUAACUUUUUUUUUUGUACUAAAAGCUCCAAAAAAGUGGCAGCUCAAACGGGACCAACAAUCUACUAUGUUCGCCUGUUCUCCCGCCGGACCCACCAGCCGCCGGCGGCCAUGGGUCAUCUAUAAAAGCAUAGAUCAAGACUACACUAAUCCCUCAUCAGUCCAGUCCAUCCAUAAUUCUCCUAUCUCCACAAGUCCUCCCGCUGACCACCAGCCGGCGGCGGCCCUGGGUCAUCUAUAAAAGCAUAGACCAAGACUACAGAAAUCGCUCAGUCCAGUCCAUCCAUACUUCCUCUUCAGGCCUCAGCUACUAAACAAUAAAUGAUAGGUUGCAUUUUAGUGGGUAUUUUGGGCAUUAUUGCAUAAUUAAUUGACUAAAUAUUUUCGUUAAUUGGGUGGAUUCUACUGAUAUUUUGUUUUGGUGCUAAUUGCAGGAAUGGUUGCUGAAAAGCGCUUAAAUUCAACUUUUAGAAGAUUCAUCGGAGUGGGGCCCGUUUGAGAAGCGGAAAAAACCUAAUUGUAAUAGAUUUUAUUUUAAUAUAUAUUUCUAGGGAGUCUUGCUGCAAUUUUGGAGAAGUAACAAUUUGUAAUUUAUCUCUGGCGCGGCUUAGGUUAGAGGAGAGUCUUCGUUUUUGGUUUUUGAAUGAGAGGAGAGAGCCGCAGCCUGGAGGGGAAAAAGGCAACGGACAGAAGCCAUCAUUGUUGACUUGUGAGAAACGAAUUCUUCAUGUUUUGACUUGACAACUUGAGAAAUCAAGCAAUUGAGAAACUUUCACUCUCGUGUAUCUUGACUUCAAUUGGAAAAAGGAAGAAAGCUUAAAGGAGCCGCCAUUGUUGACUUUGCUCUUGGGCUGUCCUACCUUGUGCGAAUCGAAUUGGAGAACAAAAGCAAUCUCUCGUAUGUUUCCACUUAACAAUCGAGAGCAAUACAAAUUUGAGCUUUCUCCUCCUGUGGUGGACCGAAGCGGGAUAAUCGAAGUGCAAACCUUUCUCAGUUUUCCACGCGCGGUUUGUCCUCCAUUAAUGGAGGGCUAAUUCUCUAAUUCUAGUCAAGGGACAGCUGAUGAAUUGGUUCAAUUAAUGCUGUGAGAUCUAAACCGCUUUUAAUUAUUUCCUCCGUUUAUUGGUAUUUAUAUGUUCUUUGCUUUUAACUGUUAUAGCUCUUGUGUAUGAUUGAUUAGUGCGCAAUAAUUGAUUAUUCAUAUAGGCUAUUUUGCUAAAUAGAGGUAAUUGAAUCCGUAAUUGUUCGUUACCUCUAUCCCAGUAGCAACUGGUAUAAUUGGGUUUAUGUCAGGGGAAUAUAUGAUCUAGCUUAAAUAAACCCUCGUAGCGUGUUUAUUGGUUAGGAUUGGGCCUUUCUAAUUAUUAAUGCAAUCUGGAAAUUGAAUCCUACGGUCGUACCUAGGGUUGUUUUUGGGUUAGAGAAAUAGCUAACGGUCGUACCUUGGCUAUCGAUAAAUUAAGGAAUGGUUGGUUGUUUAGCGCGUGCGAGACAACUAGAACCAAUCUAUUAGUAAAUGUUGGAAUUACCUUUGAAUCAAUGAUCAGUGCAUGAACCAUUUCUGAAGUAUACCCUUGGCUAGAGUUUCUCUCAUUUAUUUCUUUUAAUUAAUUAUUUUCUGCAGUUAAUUUGUUUAGUUGGCAUUUGAUACCAAAACCCCCCAUUAAUCUUGAUUUGAAAAGAAACAAAUAUCUCUCCAGUCCCUGAGGAGACGACCCUGCUUACCACUAUCUACUAGUUAGAGAACUCAGUUAAAUAAUUGAUUCAGGUAUAUCGGAUUAAGCAAACUCUUCGGGAACAGGGUGAAUCAAGUAACCCAUUGCACACCUAGAGUCCCUGCUCCAGUACUCGAAUUGAUUACUAGCUGUUGCAGGUGGUAGUUAGGAUUUAUUUAUUAUUAUUGCACAGGUUCGGCACCUGUCAAUUUUUGGCGCCGUUGCCGGGGACUGGCGUCUGAAUUAGUUGUUUCUUUUUGAAUUCAGUUUUUAUUUUGUUUUAUUUUAUUUUUCUUUUUCUUGGUACUUUUGCUAGUUUAUGCCCCGUUCUUCUCGCACAGGUGACUUGGUAUACGAUCCUGAGGUUGAGAAGGCAGCACGUAGGCGAAGGCAAGAGACCAAGAGACAAAAAGAAGGGUACUCAUUUUCUGAAAACGAGUCAAUAGAAGACGAAUUGAGCAUGGCCAACACCCAGACAUUACGGGAGCUGGCUACCCCAGAACUGACUCAUCAGCCCUUGUGCAUCACGUUCCCAACUCUGGCUGAGAAUACCUCAUUCGAGUUGAAAUCGGGGUUGAUUCAACUCCUACCUUCGUUCCAUGGCCUUUCUGGUGAGGAACCCCACAAACAUAUCAAGGAAUUCGAAGUGGUUUGCUCUAGCAUGAAACCCCCUGCGGUCACCGAAGAGCAAAUACGACUCAGGGCUUUCCCUUUCUCUCUCAAGGAUGCAGCGAAGGAUUGGCUAUACUACCUACCUGCAGGUAGUAUCACCACGUGGGCACAGUUGAAAAAGAAAUUUCUGGAAAAAUUUUUUCCCGCAUCCCGGGUUGCGAGUUUGAGAAAGGAAAUAUGCAGUAUCAAGCAGUACUCCGGGGAAUCAUUGUACGAUUAUUGGGAAAGGUUCAACAAGUUGUGCAAGGGAUGCCCACAGCAUCAGAUUAGCGAACAACUGUUGAUCCAGUACUUCUAUGAAGGGCUCCAGUCAACUGACAGGGGUAUUAUUGACGCUGCGAGUGGAGGAGCCCUGGCGAACAAAACACCGAGGGAAGCAUGGGACCUUAUUGAAGCCAUGGCAGAAAACUCUCAGCAGUUCGGCUUCCGUGAGAGCAAUCCUACCCGUAGGGUAAAUGAGGCAGAGACGUCAUCCAUCCAGCAGCAACUGUCAGAGUUGACGUCUGCAGUCAGGCAGUUGGCCAUGAGAGACACACCGCGAGCAAAGGUGUGUGGAAUCUGUACUAGCAUGGACCACUGCACGGAUUCGUGCCCCAUUCUGCAAGAGGACGGGGCGGAACAGGUAAACAUGGCCGGAGGCAUGCCCGCGCCCCGCAGGCAAUAUGACCCGUAUUCCAACACAUACAACCCCGGUUGGAGAGACCACCCCAAUCUCAGUUACGGGAACAGGCAACAAGGUUCAUUCCCGAAUCGUCCACCAGGAUUCCACCAGCCUUGGCAACCAAAAUCUCAACCCUCAUCCUCCAAUACAGGAAGCUCUUUGGAGGACCUAGUCAAGAACCUGGCCACGACUACUACCAACCUGGCCACGACUACUACACAGCUUCAACAGGAGAUCAGAUCCUUGGCCGCGAAAACCGAGCAGCUCCAGCAGGACACCAAAGCUGACAAGAAAGACCAAGAUGUUCGAAUAAGUCAACUGGCAACUGCCAUCAACCGCUUGGAAUCUCACGUUUAUGGGAAACUGCCAUCGCAACCCGAGGUAAAUCCCAGGAAUGUAAGUGCCAUGACGCUGAGGAGUGGCAAGGAGCUGGAAGAACCUAAAGUGAAAAAUUCAAAAAGCAAAAGCGAGGAGGAGAUAGAAAAGGAAAUUGAGGAGGAAGGACGUGUUCGUGAAGAUCCUAAGGUAUCCUCCACCUCUCCACUCACUAUCAGCUCUAACUUACCCCCUUUUCCUUGCAGGUUGGAAAAGACAAGGAAAGUAGAGAGGGAAAAGGAACUUUUGGAUGUAUUCAGAAAAGUAGAGAUUAACAUCCCCCUACUGGAUGCAAUCAAGCAAAUACCGAAAUAUGCCAAAUUUCUGAAGGACCUGUGCACCCACAAGAGGAAGCUAAGGGGAGAUGAACGAGUGGCGGUGGGAGAAAACGUGUCAGCUAUACUCCAGAGGAAGCUCCCACCAAAAUGUGGAGACCCAGGUAUGUUCACCAUUCCCUGCAAGAUAGGAGGUACUCCAAUUAGGAAAGCAAUGUUGGAUUUGGGGGCGUCAAUUAAUGUUAUGCCCAAGACAAUCUAUGCAUCUCUAAAUCUUGGCCCGUUAAAAGGCACAGGCAUUAUAAUCCAACUUGCAGACCGUACCAAUGCUUACCCGGAAGGGUUAGUUGAAGAUGUUUUGGUACAGGUCAAUGAGUUAGUUUUUCCUGCAGAUUUCUAUGUCCUAGACAUGGGGGAUGAAAGGGCACUAAAUCCGUCUCCUAUUCUGUUAGGUAGGCCAUUUUUAAGCACUGCUAGGACUAAAAUAGAUGUAAAUGAGGGUACCUUGUCGAUGGAGUUUGAUGGGAAAAUUGUAAAUUUUAAUAUUUUUGAGGCGAUGAAGUACCCAGAUGAGACUAACUCUGUUUAUGCUUUAAGUGUUGUUGAGCCCCUUGUACAGGAAAUAUUUGAAUUGGAUGGGGUUGAUGCACUGGCAGUGGCAUUGACCAAACAUCUUGAGUUGGGAGCAACUCUUGAUGUAGAAAUAAAUGAUGAGCUAGACCACGCUGUUGGAGCACUGCAUUCGCUCCCACCAAUUUCCCCAAGGUAUGAGCUUACUUCUGUUUUUGUACCAGAAACUCAGGCAAAAUUGUUGCCUUCUAUUGUGCAGGCGCCUGAGUUGGAGCUCAAACCUCUCCCAAAGCAUUUGAAGUAUGCUUUUCUCGGGGACAAUGAGACACUGCCAGUCAUCAUAUCUGCACACCUGUCACCAGGGCAAGAAGAUAGACUAAUUCGCCUUCUUCGAGAUCAUAAGGAGGCGAUUGGGUGGAGUGUAGCAGAUAUCAAAGGAAUUAGCCCCUCCUUAUGCAUGCAUCGAAUCCGGCUUGAGGAUGAUGCAAAGCCAGUUAGACAAGGGCAACGGAGAUUGAACCCACUAAUGAUGGAAGUGGUCAAGAAGGAGAUACUUAAACUCCUAGAAGUUGGAAUAAUUUUCGCCAUCUCAGAUAGUCCCUGGGUGAGUCCCGUGCAAGUAGUCCCGAAAAAGGUGGGAGUAACAGUUGAGGAGAACCAAGAGGGUGAGAUGGUCCCGGUGAGGAAACCCACAGGAUGGCGUCAGUGCAUUGACUAUCGGCGUCUGAAUGCUGUGACAAAGAAGGACCACUUCCCUCUACCUUUUAUUGAUCAGAUGAUAGAAAGGUUAGCUGGCCGUGUCUAUUACUGUUUUCUUGAUGGUUUCUCUGGUUAUUUUCAGAUCGUAAUAGCACCAGAGGAUCAGGAGAAGACUACCUUCACCUGUCCCUUUGGUACAUUUGCCUACCGGAGGAUGCCUUUCGGCCUCUGCAACGCCCCAGCAACUUUUCAGCGGUGUAUGGUAAGUAUAUUUUCUAAAUAUGUAGAAAAAAUUAUUGAGGUGUUUAUGGAUGAUUUUAGUGUGUAUGGAGAUAGUUUUGAUGAAUGCCUUGAUAAUUUAGCUUUAAUUUUGAAAAGAUGCAUUGAGACAAAUUUGGUUCUAAAUUGGGAAAAAUGUCAUUUCAUGGUGGAUCAUGGUAUUGUUUUAGGGCAUGUAGUGUCGUCCAGAGGUAUAGAGGUAGACAAGGUAAAAGUCGAUAUUAUCUCUGUUUUACCUUACCCCGCAAGUGUGCGGGAGGUGCGCUCCUUUUUGGGUCAUGCAGGGUUCUACAGGAGAUUCAUAAAAGACUUCUCGAAAAUUGGAGCGCCCCUGUUCAAGCUGUUGCAAAAAGAUGUAGCAUAUGACUUCACCGAGGAGUGCAAGGUGGCAUUUGACAGAUUGAGGGAGUCAUUGACAUCACCACCUGUUAUCCAACCUCCAGACUGGAGCCUCCCAUUUGAGAUAAUGUGUGACGCGAGUGAUUAUGCAGUGGGAGCAGUGUUGGGGCAACGGAUUGGUAGGGCGGCUCAUGCAAUCUAUUAUGCAUCAAAGGCGUUGAAUGGAGCUCAACUCAAUUAUUCUACAACAGAGAAAGAAUUACUUGCUGUGAUUUUUGCACUAGAAAAAUUUAGACCAUACUUGCUAGGUGCAAAAGUAAUAGUUUUUUCUGACCAUGCAGCCUUGAGAUAUCUGAUGACGAAGAAAGAUGCUAAACCAAGGCUUAUCAGAUGGAUCCUGCUCCUCCAAGAGUUCAAUUUGGAGAUUAAAGAUAAGAGUGGGGCAGAAAACUUAGUCGCUGAUCAUUUGAGCCGCUUGCUUGCUCAUAAGGAAGAGCCACCAUUGAGGGAGGCAUUUCCAGAGGAGCAACUACUUGCCAUUAACUCGUCUACACCCUGGUAUGCUGAUAUAGUAAAUUUCUUGGUGACUAAUCAAUUGCCUGCAGGGUGGCCCAAGGCUAAGAGAGACAAGUUGAAAAGUGAUGUCAAAUAUUACAUUUGGGACGACCCGUACCUUUGGAGACAAUGACAGGUGCCGAACCUGUGCAAUAAUAAAUACCUACUCGAGAAAAAUACAGAUUUUGUAUAUAGCGGUGAGUAGGGUCGAAUCCACAGGGACUGGGGAUAAUUCGUUUCUUCUAGAGUCCAAAGUAUGGGGGGUUUUGGAUUAAAUGCUAACUAAAUAAAUUAAUUGCAGAAAAUAAUUAAUUAAAAGAAAUGAUUGGGGAAACUCUAGCCAAGGGUACACAUCAGAAAUGGUUCAUGCACUGAUCAUUGAUGCAGAAAUAAUUCCAACAUUUAGCAGUAGAUUAGUUAUAGUUGUCAUGCACGCGAUAAACAACCAACCCUUCCUUAAUUUCUCGAUAGCUAAGGUACGACCGUUAGCUAUUUCUCUAACCCAAAAAUAACCCUAGGUACGACCGUAAGAUUUAAUUUCUAGAUUGCAUUAAUAAUUAGAAAGGCCCAAUCCUAACCAACAAACACGCUACGAGGGUUUGUUUAAAUUAGAUCAUAUGCUCCCCUGACAUAAACCCAAUUACGCCAGUUGCUACUGAGGUAGAGAUAACGAACAAUUACGGAUUCAAUUACCCAUAUUUAGCAAAAAUAGCCUAUAUGAAUAAUUAAUUAUUGCGCACUAAUCAAUCAUACACAAGGCCAUAGCAAUUAAAAUCAAGGAACAUAUAAAUACCAAUAAAUGAAGAAAAUAAUUAAAACAGAUUCGAUCUCACAGUAAUUGUCGAACCAAAUCGUCAGUUGUCCCCUUGACUAGAAAAGCUUAACCACGCCUCAUGAGAAAAUCUCCCCGUUGGGGAAUAUUGUCGAACACCUGGCGUGUGUCAGAGGCCAGUCCAAAGAAAGAAAACUAGAACUAAACUAAAACUAGAGAUGUCCCUGCUACUCUACGUUAUCCCUAUUUAAGCAACAAGAGGAAGAUGACUAAAGGCUAUCUAGGUGGUCCCCACACAUGUGGACAAAGCCCUCCAAGUACUUCUUGUUCCAAGUCUCUUUCCCGUAGCUUUCUUUUAAGAGCCCAAAUGACUAGAUGCUUUCCACUAGCUUGUGGUCCCCCACCAAUUCAAGGGCCCAAGAAUUGAAGCCCUUAGAAGUCUCCCUAUUUUCCAUAAAGUCCUUCCUUUUUGAUGGUUUUCUGCUUCAUUCCUGAAAUUAAGUCCAAUACCAAAUAUAAGUAAAUAUCAGCAAUUAACACAAUAUUUGUCAGGAAUAAAAGGGGAAAUUAAUAAUAAAAUUACUAACAAAUUAUACCCUAUCAGACAAUGUUCGGAUCAAGUGCUCAGGAGGUGUGUAAGUGCAGGUGAAUUUCACUCCAUUUUAAUCUUCUGUCAUUCGUUUGCAUGUGGAGGGCACUUUGGGCCCAAACGAACAGCUCGAAAGGUGUUGGAGAGUGGUUUUUACUGGCCCACCCUGUUCAAAGAUGCUUAUUUAUUCUGUAAAUCCUGUGAUAGGUGUCAAAGGGUGGGGAAUAUUUUUCGCAGGGACCAAAUGCUUCAAACCCCCAUGUUGUUUGUUGAAAUUUUUGAUGUUUGGGGGAUAGAUUUUAUGGGUCCUUUUCCCUCAUCUUUUGGUUUCCUAUACAUUUUACUUGCUGUGGAUUAUGUCUCUAAAUGGGUGGAAGCCAAAGCCACCCGUACUAAUGAUUCUAGAGUGGUUGCAGAGUUCUUAAAGUCUAAUAUCUUUGUCCGUUUUGGGAUGCCAAGAGCUGUGGUUAGUGAUAGAGGGACACAUUUCUGCAACAAAACUAUCACGGCCUUGUUUCGAAAAUACGGUGUACUGCACAAGGUAUCCAUACCGUAUCACCCGCAGGCGAACGGUCAGGCCGAAGUGUCGAACAGGGAAGUCAAGUCGAUCUUGGAGAAGAUGGUGCGCCCGGACAGGAAGGAUUGGAGUUUAAAGUUAGAGGACGCACUAUGGGCGUACAGAACCGCGUAUAAGACGCCAAUUGGGAUGUCUCCCUAUAGACUUGUUUUCGGUAAGGCUUGCCAUCUCCCCGUGGAGUUCGAACACAAGGCGUUUUGGGCAGUGAAGCAGUGUAACAUGGGAUUUGACGAAGCAGGGGUCCAAAGGAAAUUGCAACUACAGGAGUUAGAGGAGAUAAGAAAUGAAGCUUAUGAGAAUGCCACGAUCUAUAAGGAAAAGAGUAAAAUCUUUCAUGAUCAACAGGUUUCUAGGAAAACUUUUGUAGUGGGGCAAAAAGUCCUCUUGUAUCACUCAAGGCUUAAACUUUUUCCCGGUAAGUUGCGUUCUCGUUAGAUUGGUCCAUUUGUCGUUUCUAAUGUGUUCCAUUAUGGUGCAGUGGAGAUCCAGAGUUUAAACACGGAGAAAAAGUUCGUGGUGAAUGGCCAUCGUCUCAAACCUUAUUAUGAGGGUUUCUAUGUUGAAGAAGUAGAGGUUGAACACCUCCACGAUCCACUUUCUCAUGCUUGAGGGUUUUGGCCAUGUCUAGCCAAAGACAUUAAAGAAAGGCGCUACUUGGGAGGCAACCCAAGACUAUUUGUGGCAGUUUUCAUGCAUUUUUGAAGUUUUAGUUAUGUAUUAGUGUCGAUUGAUGGUUUGAUGUUUUGUGGCAGGAGAUUAGUGGUUAGGCGUGCCCACGCCGGGUGGUCACGCCUGACGGAGGAAAUUUUCGUUCAGGUUCUGCGGGCUACAUGGUAGUUAGACGUGCCCACGCCAGAUGGUCACGCCUGACGGAGGAAAUUUUCGUUCAGAAUCUGCGGGCUACAUGGCAGUUAGGCGUGCCCACUCUAGGUGGUCACGUUAAAAAAAAAAAAAAAAAAAAAAAAAAAAAAAAAACUUCCGUAGCCCUACUUCUCCUUUUCUUCUUUUUUUCUUUCUUUCUUCUUUCUUCUCCCUUUUCUUUCUUUUCUUCUUUUCCUUCUUUUGCUUGGUCGGCCGCCGCACCACACGCCGUCCAUCGCGGUCGCUGCACAGCCGCGUCUCCCAGCCGCGCGAGACCGCGCGCGCCUGCCGCCAGCCCAUCGCGCCGCCGCCUGCCUCGCCCAGCCUCGCUUGCCGCGCGCUAGCGCGCAGCCAGAAUCAGACCGCGCGCGUCUUCCUGCGCUGGUCCAGAUCCACCUAGCAACAGCGGGCAGCAGUCUCCUCGCGCGAGCUCCUCUCGCAGGCAGCCCAGACGCACGCGAGCUCUGUCCAGACGCGCGCACCGCCCAACAACCCGCGCGCCACUCCAGUACGCCCCAGUUGCACGACAGUGCGCUCCCGCAGCUUCGCGCGACACUACCGCCGCCGUCCACCAAGCUCCAGCCCAACUUGCAGCAGCCGCACAAGCUUCUCGAGCAGUCAACCCACCGCGCGGGCCACCAGACCCACCAGCCGCAGUCGCGGACCACAGGCGCGCCGCCCAGCAGCUCGCGCAACCUCUGCACAACUCAGCCAGCGCGCAGCCAACACCAGCGCGCCCCUUGUGCGUGCGACCAAGCAGCCUCUGCGCGACUCCGGUGAUUUCUUUUUCAAUUUCUGUCACUAAGUAGCUGAUGGUUCCGCUGCCAGAAUUUAAUUUUGUAGCUGAUGAUAGAAUGUUUAUUUGCUAGCUCAGGACAGAAAUCUUGUGCUUGAUUUUGGGUGCUGUGUUAUAUCCGUGGGUGAUUGCUGGCUAAUUGUCGAAUUUUGUGCUUAAUCAGUGAUAGUUGGGGGGGAAUUUUUACCCUGGUUGCCUGUUUAAUUAGUCUUGGGAAAAAUUGUUGUGUUUACCUACUUAAUUGAUUUUUGGGUUUAUUUGGUUGUAUUUGGGAAAAAUUUUGGUGUUCGCAGGUUUAAUUGACUCUUGGGGUAAUUUUAUUGUUGAUUUGUGCACUUGUUUGGGAUUGGGAGCUGUGGCUGGGGAUCAUUUGUUUUGAUUGGCUAUUUGUUGGCUAUUUGUUGAUCUCGUUGGGUUACCAUUCCCCUGCCUUGGACCUUCCCUCUGAUUUCAAAUGACUAAACCCAAGAACAAAGGCAAAAACACGCCCUCCACUUCCACCCCUCAGCCUACGGUCCCCUUAGAGCGACCUUCCCCAUCGACUGGGCCUGGAGGACCCCGUACUCGCCUUGGGCGGAAUAGGGAGGUUCAUAUCUCCUCUCCGGCCCAUUUUGGCGGUCACUUGACCUUCACCCGGGCUGCCGACAAGGAGCGGUAUGCAUCGGCUUGCACAAGGAAGAUUAUUUCUUGUAAAUACAUCCAUGGCCCUACACUUGAUAUUUUAAACCUGAGGGAUGAAGUCACGCAGCACUUGACUAACGUAGGUUGGACCCGCUAUGCUUCUAUCAUUUUACCUGCUUUCACUGAACUGACGUGGGAAUUCUAUGCUACCUUUGAACUUAAUAUUCCUGAUGAAUUUUCCGUUACCACUCCUGGGGUAGUGAGGUUUCGAUUAAUGGGUAGAGAGUUCAUCCAAUCUAUAACUGAGUUUAAUUUGGCUUUUGGGUUUAUUGAUAUUCCCUACUCCCAGAGUGAGGAGUACAUGCACAGUGUGUGCGAGUACUCGGAGCCAUUUUUCUCUCAUUACCUUGAUUAUUGGAGUGGUUUGUCAGUUGACCGACAGUGCUAUGACCCCAGUCAGUCUAAGGCCUCUUAUCUUAAGAGCGCCGCCUACCGCUAUUUACAUCGAUUCAUGGCCUAUAGUUUCUCAGGUAGGAAGGAUAGCUCGGGUACUCUGACUAAGCCCGAGUUCUUUUUCGUUUGGUGCAUGGUCACUCGGACUAAGGUCAAUGUGGGUGGCUGGUUUGCCCUCCAGCUCCGAACUGUGCUAACUAAGAAAAAUAAGCCAUUAAUCUUAGGCUCAUUUAUCACUCAGUUGGCAGUGAAUCUUGGGGUUUUGGACUUAAAUAACCAUAAUUUGCAUCGUGCUUGUACUAUGGAACCUCUCGAUUUGGUUUGUUUGGAGAGAAUGGGUCUUGUGCGACAGGUUAAUGGCGUUUUCCAGUUUGCUCCCCCGGGGCCAAUCUCUGUUCCUCCGAAGCGCAGCGCUUCCAAAUCCACUGCCCCGGAGACUGGUGGUCCUUCUACGGAUACACCUGGACCUUCCUCUUCGGCACCCCCACCAUCUUCCUCCGUCGAUAGCCAGCUUGCAGCUCUUCGGUUCCAGAUGCAACACAUGGACAAUCGUAUGGAUCGAAUGGAGGGCCAAAUGGCCGGCAUGGCCCAGAAUUUAGCGCAGUACCUCCACCACGUGGGUUUCCGGCCACCGUGCCCUCCACGACCUUAGUUCACCUCUGCCCCGCCAUAUUAAGGGAAGUGUCGUGCCUUUAUCGCUUUAUUUUCCUCUUUAUCCGCUUCCAUUGGGGACAAUGAAAGGUUUAGGUGUGGGGGAGGGUUAACUAUGCUUUGGUUGUGCUUUUCGUUGUCUGAUUGAGUUUUUCCUUGCCUUAGUAGUUGUCUUUUCUUUGAACGAUGAUGAAUGCGAAUUGGGAUAUAAGCGUACAUAGUAAGUUCAUGCCAUGGGGUGUUCCACUUUCCUUGAUACUGAAUUGAUUGAUUAAUAUGCUGAACUUGACAUCCAUUUGAUCACUUGUGCGAUUUUUUUUUGGCCUAAUUUUCGUUUUGUUGAGUGGUUAGUGCACAUGGUUUGUCAUUCUAGAACUUGCUCGGUUAUGCAUGUCAAGAUCACAUUUAAAUGAAUUUAAUGCAUUGAAAUGAUAGGGCACCUAGGAAUGAGCCAUUUUUGGGACUUUCUUAAAACCAACCCUUGGAUUAUUUAUUAUCAUUAGGGAGCCAAGUUGAGCCUUAACCCCUAUUCGUUGCUUGAGACCCCAGCUCUUAGCCGUGAAACCUCUUUUUAGACUUUGUUUUUGAACCUCGUGUGAAGAAGUGCUUUGAUUUCAUUAUACAGACUUUUGGAGUGUUAUUCGAAGGGCAUUACACCCAUUUAUGUAUCUAAAAAAAAAAAAGAGAAAAAAAAAGAAAGAGAGAAAGAGAAAGUUGACUUUUAUGUGAAAAGAAGACAAAGUGCAGGAAACCAGCAAGUAAAGUUGACUUUUAGGGUGCUGGUUGGGAGUAUUGGAAAAAAAAAAAAAAAAAAAAAAAAAAGGAGAAAAGGCGAAGGCUGUGGCAAGUGCUAGUUCGCUUCACUUGUGUGAUGGUUGAGGUGCCUUUAAAUUUCAAAUGUGCAAAAAUCUAUGUAAUGAAUUUCUGGGCACUUUCUUUAUACUUUUGCACCCUUUUGACUCCUUUUUAUCCUACCUUCUCACCCUAGCCCCACUACAACCUUGCAAAGUCCCUUGAUUGCUGCAUUUAAAUUCAUGAGUAGGUGGUGGAGAUAUGAUAUAUGAGCAAGCUUAUGGUAGUGUCAUUCUAUUGUGUUGAUUUGAGAGCCAUCUUAUAUACAUUUCAUAUACACUUUGGAGUGAACGAGUGCAUUUGGAACUGUGAGCAUUGUUGAUUUGGUAUAUUCUGAUUUCGAUGAGGUUAGUGGGGAGAUUGGGAUGCCGUUUUUGGUAUGAACUGCUGUGAUUAGCUUCGUAUCUCGAUUGUAUUUCUGAGUAAUUAUGCUUGAGGGCAAGCAUAGUUCAGGUGUGGGGGAGAUUGAUAGGUUGCAUUUUAGUGGGUAUUUUGGGCAUUAUUGCAUAAUUAAUUGACUAAAUAUUUUCGUUAAUUGGGUGGAUUCUACUGAUAUUUUGUUUUGGUGCUAAUUGCAGGAAUGGUUGCUGAAAAGCGCUUAAAUUCAACUUUUAGAAGAUUCAUCGGAGUGGGGCCCGUUUGAGAAGCGGAAAAAACCUAAUUGUAAUAGAUUUUAUUUUAAUAUAUAUUUCUAGGGAGUCUUGCUGCAAUUUUGGAGAAGUAACAAUUUGUAAUUUAUCUCUGGCGCGGCUUAGGUUAGAGGAGAGUCUUCGUUUUUGGUUUUUGAAUGAGAGGAGAGAGCCGCAGCCUGGAGGGGAAAAAGGCAACGGACAGAAGCCAUCAUUGUUGACUUGUGAGAAACGAAUUCUUCAUGUUUUGACUUGACAACUUGAGAAAUCAAGCAAUUGAGAAACUUUCACUCUCGUGUAUCUUGACUUCAAUUGGAAAAAGGAAGAAAGCUUAAAGGAGCCGCCAUUGUUGACUUUGCUCUUGGGCUGUCCUACCUUGUGCGAAUCGAAUUGGAGAACAAAAGCAAUCUCUCGUAUGUUUCCACUUAACAAUCGAGAGCAAUACAAAUUUGAGCUUUCUCCUCCUGUGGUGGACCGAAGCGGGAUAAUCGAAGUGCAAACCUUUCUCAGUUUUCCACGCGCGGUUUGUCCUCCAUUAAUGGAGGGCUAAUUCUCUAAUUCUAGUCAAGGGACAGCUGAUGAAUUGGUUCAAUUAAUGCUGUGAGAUCUAAACCGCUUUUAAUUAUUUCCUCCGUUUAUUGGUAUUUAUAUGUUCUUUGCUUUUAACUGUUAUAGCUCUUGUGUAUGAUUGAUUAGUGCGCAAUAAUUGAUUAUUCAUAUAGGCUAUUUUGCUAAAUAGAGGUAAUUGAAUCCGUAAUUGUUCGUUACCUCUAUCCCAGUAGCAACUGGUAUAAUUGGGUUUAUGUCAGGGGAAUAUAUGAUCUAUCUUAAAUAAACCCUCGUAGCGUGUUUAUUGGUUAGGAUUGGGCCUUUCUAAUUAUUAAUGCAAUCUGGAAAUUGAAUCCUACGGUCGUACCUAGGGUUGUUUUUGGGUUAGAGAAAUAGCUAACGGUCGUACCUUGGCUAUCGAUAAAUUAAGGAAGGGUUGGUUGUUUAGCGCGUGCGAGACAACUAGAACCAAUCUAUUAGUAAAUGUUGGAAUUACCUUUGAAUCAAUGAUCAGUGCAUGAACCAUUUCUGAAGUAUACCCUUGGCUAGAGUUUCUCUCAUUUAUUUCUUUUAAUUAAUUAUUUUCUGCAGUUAAUUUGUUUAGUUGGCAUUUGAUACCAAAACCCCCCAUUAAUCUUGAUUUGAAAAGAAACAAAUAUCUCUCCAGUCCCUGAGGAGACGACCCUGCUUACCACUAUCUACUAGUUAGAGAACUCAGUUAAAUAAUUGAUUCAGGUAUAUCGGAUUAAGCAAACUCUUCGGGAACAGGGUGAAUCAAGUAACCCAUUGCACACCUAGAGUCCCUGCUCCAGUACUCGAAUUGAUUACUAGCUGUUGCAGGUGGUAGUUAGGAUUUAUUUAUUAUUAUUGCACAGGUUCGGCACCUGUCAAUAAACUCUGCUCCACUCAACUCUUUCCUCUGUGUCUUGUGCUCUUGUCCGAAAAUGGCGGCGUCAGAAGAAGUGAAAGUGCCAAGAAUCAAGCUGGGCUCGCAAGGUCUUGAAGUUUCAGCUCAAGGGCUGGGCUGCAUGGGCAUGUCAGAAGCCUACGGGCCGCCGAAGCCCGAGCCUGAUAUGAUCAAACUCAUCCACCAUGCUAUUUGCAGAGGUAUCACCCAUCUUGACACCGCCGAUAUGUAUGGACCUCACACCAACGAAAUACUCAUUGGCAAGGUACCGUAUUUACAAAUUUUCUGCUGUUGUGUGCUGUGCAUAAAAUCUUGUACUUUUAAUUUCUGAAAGAGCAUAUUUGUAAUAUUUUAUUUGGGUAUAUUAUACUUGACCCCCUGCACUUCAAAACUUGUCUCCCUUUGGGCCCCCUUAAUUUUGUUUGUGAGCACUUGAACUCCAUUUGUUUAAAUUGUAAGUAUUAUUAGUCAAAUAGGACAUUGUUCUUCUUUUCUUUUGCUUCAUUUCUUCAUGUUACUGCCUUUUCAGUUUGUCCUCCUUUAUAGACAUGGGAUGAAUUACUUUGAUUUUGAUUUUGGCGCAAUUUUGUAUAAAAUGAUUUUUGCUAUGAAGUUAUUGAUUUAUUAUGAGCUAUGCGUUGUAUAUUUACACAAAUUCUGCUAGCUAAACUUUUACUUGAGCAAGCCUUCCAUACAUGAGCAAUAUAAUUCUCUAUGGGUGCAUUUCGUAAAAUUGAAGUUUGAAAAUUAAAAUCUAAUUUAAGUCUAAAUUCAUAAAGUUAUUAAAUUGUUAAGUAUUAAAUUUGAUACGUUUGAGUGCAUGUCACAUCAAACGAUCAGUGAAUAAUUUAUCACUUAUUUUUUGGAGCAAAUUUUGUUUAAGAAAUUCAAUGCCAUUUAAUUAAUUCCGAUAUUCAAUUUUUUAUUAUCAAACAUGUUUGAAUAUGUUAAGAUUUGAACCUAUUAAUUUUAAGUGUUGAAUUGGAUUAUCAAAUAAGACUUAUAAUCAUUAGGUAACCAAGCAGACAACAUGUUUAGUGUAUAAUAGUAAUUAACUUUCAAUUGUCUCAUUAUUCUUUGGUAAAGAACUCUUUGAAUAUUAAUAAUAAUUUUCUCAUACACGGGAAUCAAAAUAAUUGAAGUUUUAUCUCUACCAUUGAGAUAUGUUACCUUCUAAAAGAAAGGAAAGGGAAGGAAACAUGGGGGAAAAAUAGGGAAAGGGCAAAGUGAUGAUAAAUAAAGUUGGAAGUAGCAAAACGAGACAAGUGAAUUAUUGCAAGGCGUUAAGUGUAAAUUAUGUUUAUUUUAUUAGACUAUUUAACCAGAAAGACUGGACUCUUUUAAGGCACCAAUCAAAAGUUCCAAUUGCUGGAAAUAACAUAAAAACCUAGACUUUGGUUUGGCGUUUUUGGAGGUGGUUCAUGAAAAUUUUAUUGUAGUUUUUUUUUCUUCUUGAAAAAUAUAUUUGUAAGAGAAAAAAAGUGGUUGAAAAAAAAUUGAGAGUUUUUUUUAAUAAAUUGUUUUCUAAAUAGUUCAGUCACCCAAAAUUUUCAGUAUUCCGACAACGGCAUCCAUGUGGUGUCAAUUGUCAAACGUGCAACAAAGUUGAGAAGAGAAGGUCGCAGGUCUAGCGCAUACGUUGAAUAGCUAUCAUCUCUACAUCAUAAUGGAGUUGGUAAAAUAGUAGUAUUUUCGUCUUUGAUGUUAAACUUUUCAUCAAUUUAUGGAAAGUUUGCUAUUUCUCUGAUAAGAGAUAGUAAAAUUUACUUUUUAUGAGCAGUAAAGUUUUAAAGAUUAUGAAAAGAGAAUUGUAUGAAGGAAUAGAAGGGAAAGAAAGGUAAGAAAUGGAUGGAUUGUAUUUGGAUUGAUUUUGAGAGAGGAAAGGAGAGGAAACGGAAAGAAAAAGGAAAUGGAUGUAUUGUGUUUUGCUCAGACAUCAUUUCCAUACAAAAGUAGACGGAAACAGAGGGAAAGAAAAUCUUGUUGAUGAUUUUCUAGUAAAAUGCCUCAAGCACCCCAAUAAAUUGUGGGAUGCAACAGCAGGCUACGAAUGUUUGACGAAGCAACUUAUGUAAAUAUUUUAUCGUUAAGUAAAGUUCCUCUUUUGCUGUUAAAAAAAAAAGAAGAAGAGGAAAACAGUAUAUUUAGGUUUUCUUUCUUUCCCAACCAUAUCUGAUCCAAAUAAGACAAAUGAGAACUAUUUUCCUCUACUCUCCUUUCCUCUCUUUUUCACCAGGAUGUUUUAUUUAUAUAUUUAUCCUUUCCUUUGAUCCAAAUGGUUCCUAAAAGGGCAAUUAUUCUACAUUGAUCAGUUCCCUAUUUUCGUAUUAAUUUGCAUGUGCACGAUUCUGUGUAUGUUCAUGUUGUGCAUCAAAUCUUGUGAAUGAUAAAGCUAGAGUGUAAAUUUAAGUUGAAGAAACAUAAACCAAAAAAAAAAAGAAAAUGGAUUGGCUCCUUUAAAGUAUCAGACUUCUAAACCCCAAGGAUUACAUACUUUUCAUAUCCUUUGCCAUACAAAGAAGUGGCAUAGCCUUAACAAUGAAGUGUUGGAAAAACUCCAGAAGGACUGUGCCAUCCAUGAAAUCACAAAUCCACUUGUUAUACCAUGCAAUAAUGUGUAUGUCCUUGAUGAUUAAUAUAAUGAAACCAUGGUUCUAGGCCUUGAAGGAAGGAAUAAGAGCGAAAGUGGAGCUAGCAACCAAAUUUGCAAUCAGUUUUCAGGAUGGGAAGUUUGAUGUACGUGGUGAUCCAGCCUAUGUGAGGGCUUGUUGUGAAGCAAGUUUGAAGCGGCUUGAUGUGGACUGCAUUGAUCUCUAUUAUCAACAUCGCAUCGAUACAAGUGUGCCCAUUGAAGUCACGGUUUGCUCCAUCUUGCCUUUCUUUUAUUUUAGCUCCACCUCAUUCUUGAUGAAACAAAAGUUUGAUCAACUCCAAAUUUAGAAUAAUUCAGUUUCAUGUCCGUUUCAAUUCUUCAAAAAUUGCACAGAAAAGUUAGUCAACCUUAUGGUCUCGGCUAAUCUGCAGUAUGGUAUAGCUGAUUUUGCACAAGGCAUCCUGAAAAGUGAAAACAAUGAAAAUGUCUUGUAUUAGCUUGACAGUCCUGCUGAGGGAUAUACAGAUGGAUAUCAUGCUAUACAUUGUACAGCUUUCCUUUAGAACCAAGAGACCUGAGCAUUCUCUUUCAUUUGAGAUAGGCUAUUUACUUACAUUGUCAUUCGUUUUCAGUCGGUGCCAAAAGCACUGCGGAUAGACAUUUAUUAUUGAUAUCUAAAAAACAUGGUACUCAUUUUGUUCAGAGCACAGCUUUUUGUCUAAUUGUGAAAGCCAGCUGCAACUGCCCCAUUGACCUCUCCAAGCAAUUCAAAGAUUUCAGCAGCUUGCUUACAUUAAGCUUUUAUGAAACGAUUUCUCUGUCUUCUUUUUCUCAUGUAAUCAGCAAAGAAUUGUCUUGUUUUCCCUGAGUAUUAGGUAGAAACUUUCUUGCAGUUUAAUCACUCAAAAUACAGGCAAGUAUAACGGAAAUCAAGCAAAAUUGGCAACUGAUAAUUGAUAUGUACGGCCAUUAUUCUAUAUAGAAGUCAACAAUGCCAUGUAAUCAUAUUGGAGGAGCAUUAUGUUGGCAUGGUCCAGUAGAACUAAGUCCUCCGGUUGGCUGUACAUAGAGAACUAUCACUGGAUGCUUAUUGCCAUUUUCAUCAAUUAGUGAUUUCAGUUUGAUGUAUACUUUGUCCACAACUUCGUUGAACUAGUGCAACUUUUACUUUUUGCACGUAAUAUUUCGAUUAUCUGCCUAAGUGUUGAAUGUAAUAAAUCAGCUUAGCAUCUUCUUGUCCAUUGAAAUUCUCUAGAUAGGAGAGCUCAAGAAACUGGUUGAAGAGGGUAAAAUAAAGUAUAUAGGUCUGUCUGAGGCCUCAGCUUCAACAAUUCGAAGAGCACAUGCUGUUCAUCCAAUAACAGCUGUACAGUUGGAGUGGUCAUUGUGGACCAGAGAUGUCGAGGAAGAGAUUAUUCCCACUUGCAGGUAGUGCAUAUAUUCUGCUGAAUUUUCUAAAUGGUCUAGAAGAAAUAUGAAGUUCUCAAUUCAGUUUUUGGUAUAAUCUUUCAGAGAGCUUGGCAUAGGGAUUGUUGCAUACAGUCCACUUGGACGAGGUUUCUUCUCAUCAGGUCCAAAGCUGAUGGAGAAUUUGGCUGAAGGUGACUUUCGAAAGGUUUGUACAUAUGUUUUUGAGUAUAGAUUGUUUAUAGUUCGAAUAAGUUUCUCACUCAUCUACUUUUACCAGAUUCAGUGGCAAUCUGCAAGUGUCCUGAUAGCUCAAAAAUGUACCCGUUUUCUAUUUUGAGUUCCCUCGUUAAUGGGAAAUGUGUUGCAGGAUCUACCUUCUACAAUUGAUGUUUCUUAGAGUACUCAGUCCACCUUACUUGAUUGUUCCUUCCCCUGAACUUUGUACACCUCAAACAAUACUAUCCAUCAUCUUGAAGUUAUUCAUAUUGUCUUCAUUUGUAGACGACACAUGCUUCACUCCCUUUUGCAUUUCUGGCGUUACAGUUGCUUGAAAUUUUGAAAUUCAUACAAUGUAGGGUUUGCCAAGGUUUCAAGCAGAGAAUUUGGAGCACAACAAGAAGUUGUAUGAGCGGGCCACUGCCAUUGCUUCAAGGAAGGGUUGUACUCCAUCACAGCUAGCAUUGGCCUGGGUCCAUCACCAAGGCAAUGAUGUUUGUCCCAUACCUGGCACUACCAAGAUUGAGAACCUCAAUCAGAAUAUAGGAGCUUUGUCUGUAAAACUGUCGGCAGAAGAUAUGGCGGAACUUGAAUCUAUUGCUUCUGCAGGAGUCAAGGGUGAGAGAUACGGGCCUGAAAUCAGCACUUGGCAAAAUUCUGAAACUCCACCAUUGUCAACCUGGAAGAGGACAUGAAGACAUAGCUUUGUUGUGGCAAUAAUUCCUUCUAGCUAUGUGCCUGAUGGUGGAUUUCACUAUAUUAAGAGUUGAGUGAUAUGUAUUUGUUCCAAUAAAUUUCGUCAUACUAUUGUCUCCAGGGUUAAGGCAAGUAAAGUUUCUUCAGAAAGGUUGUAAUGAAUAAAGAUAUGGUCAUGUAAAAGCAGAACAUAAUUUUCCUUGCAGUUGAAUGCAUUAAAGGUUAUGUAUUGUAAAGUGGUCCAUUUUUCAUGUGCUACUGCUACGAGAGUUAUAGUGCUAAUGCUAAAGUGGUCCAUUUUUCAUGUGCUACUGCUACGAGAGUUAUAGAUUGUCGGACAGCAUUUUUUGGUUGGAAUGUUUACAUCAAAAGCGUCUCCAAGGACAUGUCAUUCUAAAGUGUAAACUACAUCAUACCAGCAAAAUGCAGAAAAAGGUCUAAAGUAUGGGAUAUUUGUAAAUUUUCAUGGGAGGCUUGUGAUAGCAAAAACUUCAGGAGGCUUCUGAAAUUAUCCCUUAAACUAAACUAAAGGAGGUAAGAUUUUAAGCACGUCUCGGUAAGUUAAAAGGUUAAAACUUUACAUACAAAUAAAUGGUCAAAUUCACUUUAAAUUUGUGGUGUCAUCCUCCACCUUAAACUUUUGUACUAUCCAAGUUCGUUUUAAUUCCUUUCGGAAAUCAAACAUCAAAUGCAUUCCAAAAAAAGAAAAAAAAGAAAAGGAAAUGGCUUACCUUUGCACUUACGUAUCCAAUUCCAAUUUGAACAUUACAUCAUCCAUCCAAUUGAAACAAACUCCUAUGGAGUUUUUUUUUUUUUUUUUGCUUUAUUUUGUUGUUAGAUAUGAAUUUAUUUCACAUUUGGUUGUCAGAUCUAAAUUUUUUUUCAAAUUUUAAAUCUAUUUCAACAUAUCUCAUUAUCAUUAUUGAAACUUAAAACCGUUUAUUGGCAAAUCUGGUGAUUGCCAUAAGCACGGAAGAUAGACACUUUUAAAAUUCUUUAUAUUUUUUUUAGAUUUGUUUGUAAUUUUCAAAUCUAUUGUAUCUGUUAAAUUAUGAUCUGUAAUUUUUAAUGGAUGUUUGGCCUGCCAUUAGGGGAGUUAUGCAAAUCAAAUCAUGUUAGAUGAUUUCCAAAAAAAACUUAACCGUCAAUUACUCUUCCCCUUUUUAUUUGUCCACUUUUCAAUUGUCAAUAACUCUUUUAAGAAACUUUGUAAUACAAAAAUCAACUGAAACCAGUAGAAUAUUACUUUGUAAUAUUUUUUUGACAAAAAAAGUAGAAUAUAUAAUUAAUAGCAGUAUUCAUAUUAUGUUUUUGUAUAUUACUUGUACAUCUAAUUAGUCCCAUUUGGAGAAAAAAAAGGAUGAAAACAAAAACAAAAACACAUAAUAGUCACAAAAAACACAGAUCUAGCUCAAAAUAUGGCAGUGACCAAUUGUUCUGCAAAAUUAGUAGGAUAAGCAGUUGACAGAUUCUAUAAUAGCUUUUGGUCAAAUAUUAUUUAAAUUAGCUGGAUGGUCAAAUAUUACUUUUAAUUUUAAUCAUUUAAAUUACCAGUUACUAUCAUCAUUGGAAGAAGCACAUUGAAGGAAUGAUACUCUAAGAUGACUACAGAAAUUUUCUAGUUGGUUAUACAACAUAUUAAUAGUUGAAUGUUGACCUCCUUUUUUUUUUUUGUUUUUGCUGACACGGUGGGUAUCCGGGAUUCGACGGGUUAUAUUCUAGGCCCGACUAUUUCCACUACGCUUGUGUCCCCGCCCCCCGAAAGACACAAGACGAUAACAGGGUUCGAACCGCGACCACGCGGUGCUAGGACCUAAGGAGGUACCCCCAGCACCAGUCGAGCCAAACCCGAGGGGCGAAUGUUGACCUCCCAUUCCACUAAAAUUUAUAGUCUUUGGUAGUGGGCAAUCAUCCAAAGAGCUAUUGGUUUGUUCCCACCCUGUUAGGAACUAAAGGUUUUCGACCUUCUAAAAAAAAUGUUUGUGUUUUUUGUUUUUUCAAAAAUUAUUUUCGUCUAUCACCAACAGCCGGCGGUCAUGGGUUAUUCAUCGAAGCAUAGAUCCGAGCAACACUAAUCCCUCACCAGCCAUCCCUCAUUCCUUGUCGCAUCCUUUUUAUGAAUUGGAUUCAUCUAUUUGGUGUUCUAAAAUCACAUUUAAAAGUUUUUGUUUGCAAAAGUGUUAUUAUUCAGGAUGUGUAUGAUAAUUUAAAAUUUUAAUAGUGGACCUAAAAAUAAAACUUGUAAAUUUUACAUAUGAGCCUACCUACUUUUAAAAUAGAGGGAAAAAACACCACAUAACUUCAAGUCCAAGAUUGUAUGCAGUUUGUCCAAUAAAUAGAUAUUCAUAAUUCAUAAUUUCAUAUAUACAUGUUAACUAGAGAUGUCAAUCACAAUCCAAUUAUAUUGAUCCGUUCAAAACUGUUCACUAAUAACCCAUCCAAAUUCACUCAUUAAAAUUUAAAUGGGUCUAAGUGAGUAUCUAAUUAAAUCCAUUUAAUUGGUGGAUAGUUGAUUGAUUCGACUCACCCAUUUAUAACCAUUUAAAAAAAUAUAUUUUUAAACUCAAUUUUUACUAAGUGUUAAGAAGAUAAAUUUGAAUUUCCUACGAAUCUAAUAACAAUCAAAUAUCAUUUUUCUUGUUAAACGACAUGCGAAAAAUUAAAAAAAAAUAGAAUUUCAAAUCAGUGUAAAUGGAUAAUUAAGUAUUUUCAUAUCCAUUUAUUAAAUAGAUAUAAAUGGAUUGAUUCAAUUAUAUCUAUUACCCAAUUAUAAUUUGUUGAAACUCGUACAAGUCACUCAUUGUGAUGCUUCUAAUGUUAAUAUAUACUCACAAGUGAAGAGUGCAACAUUGGUUAGGAAGAUAUACUUAUUUAUCUCAAUAUUAUAGUCGUUUUUUUCAUUACAAAAGUAUUGAUAAUUUCAUAAUUUCAUCGAAGUAUGUAAUCAGUGACAUAACAUUACAUGAAUUUCAACGAAGUAUGUAAUCAGUGACAUGACAUAACAUAUCAUUAGUCUUCAGUGGUGAAUCUUUUCACGAGGCUUCUUUUCAAAGCUUUGAUUAUGGCAUACACUUCUGACAAUAUGCCCCUUUUAGAAUAGGGAUAAUUUCAGAAACCUCCCUAGGGUUUGUAACAAUUUCAUCGAGAUUUCUUGAGAUUUUUCAAUAUUACACUUACCUCCCUUGAUGAUAGACAAUGACUAUAAUAACCUUCAUAAUUUUUUCAAAGACAAGCCAUUGAUAAAAAAGAUAACAAAAAAAAAAUGAAAACAAUUCUUCUUGGCUAAGCUACAUAUUGUGACUAAAUUGUUUCACCCAUGACCACUAAAUUGUAAUUUUCUAUUACUCAGAAAAGGAAGCAUUUUGAUAAUUGAGGGGCUUGAUUGUUUGAGUGGGAAAAAGGUAAGAAUUGUGAAUUUUAUGAUUGACGAUUUGGUAGACAACAUAUGGAAGAAACUUAUAGAGAGGUAAAAAUUAUAAAGGUAAAAAUUAUGAUGGUGGAUUUUGACAUCUAAAAUAACGAGCUUGUUCGAAAAAAGGAAGAAAUGAUAAGAGUUUGAAAACUUGGGCCAGAUGUAGAAAAUUAUGAGAUGGAAAAUAUUAGAACAUUGGCUAAGUAAUAAAACUCAUAGGUUUAUAGUAUACAAGUGUAUUCUUGAUUUUUGAAAAAUUUUAAUCACUAUUCAUAUUUUGAAAAUUAGAUAAGGGCAAUUUCGGGCUUUCAUAUAUUUUUUUGGUCUUACAUCAUCAAGGUGAAACUCAAACCUAUGUUUUAGUAAAUGUAUGUGUAAUUUUCAAAACGUGAGGAAAGCUGUAUGAAAUUAUCAGAAACCUCAGGGUGGUUUAUGAAAUUAUCCCUAAUUUUUUAUUUUUUAUUUUUUAUUUUUUGGUACAAAAAACUCCAAAAAAGUGGCAGUUCAAACGGGGCCAACAAUCUCCUAUCUUCGCAAGUCCUCCCGCCGGCGGCCCUGGGUCAUCUAUAAAAGCAUAGACCAAGACAACACUAAUCCCUCAUCAGUCCACUCCAUACUUCUUCUUCAGGCCUCAGCUACGAAACAAUAAACUCUGCUCCACUCAACUCUUUCCUCUGUGUCUUGUGCUCUUGUCUGAAAAUGGCGGCGUCAGAAGAAGUGAAAGUGCCAAGAAUCAAGCUGGGGUCGCAAGGUUUUGAAGUUUCAGCUCAAGGGCUGGGCUGCAUGGGCAUGUCAGCCUUCUACGGGCCGCCAAAGCCCGAACCUGAUAUGAUCAAACUCAUCCACCAUGCUAUUUGCAGAGGAAUCACCCAUCUUGACACCUCCGAUAUCUAUGGACCUCACACCAACGAAAUACUCAUUGGCAAGGUACCAUAUUUGCAAAUUUUCUGCUGUUGUCUGCUAUGCAUAAACUCUUGUAAUUUUAAUUUCUAAAAGAGCAUAUUUGUAAAUAUUUUAUUUAGGUAAAUUAUACUUAAUCCCAUGCACUUCAAAAUUUGUCUCCAUUUGUGCCCCCUUAAUUUUGUUUGUCAGCACUUAAACUCCAUGCACUUCAAAUAUGACAUUGUUCUUCUUCAUUUUUUUCAUGUUACUGCCUUUUCAGUUUGUCCUCCUUUAUAAAUAUGGGAUGAAUUACUUUGAUUUUGAUUUUGGUGCAAUUUUGUAUAAAAUGAUUUUUGCUAUGAAGUUAUUGAUUUAUUAUGAGCUAUGCGUUGUAUAUUUACACAAAUUCUGCUAGUUAAACAUUCACUUGAGCAAGCCUUCCAAACAUGAGCAAUAUAAUUCUCUAUGGGUGCAUUUGGUAAAAUUGAUGAUUGAAAAUUGAAAUCUAAUUUAAAGUCUGAAUCCAUAAAAUUAUUAAUUUGUUAAGUACUAAAUUUGAUACGUUUGAGUCCAGGUCACAUCAAACUAUCAGUGAAUAAUUUAUCACUUAUUUUUUGGAGUAAGUUUUGUUUAAGAAAUUCAAUGCCAUUUAAUUAAUUCAGAUAUUCAAUUUUUGAUUAUCAAACAUGUUUGAAUAUGUUAAGAUUUGAACCUAUUAAUUUUAAGUGUUGAAUUGGAUUAUUAAAUAGGACCUAUAAUUAUUAGGUAACCAAGCAGACAACAUGUUUAGUGUAUAAUAGUAAUUAACUUUCAAUUUGUCUCGUUAUUCUUUGGUAAAGAACUCUUAGAAUUAUUAAUAAUAAUUUUCUCAUACAUGGGAAUCAAAAUAAUUGAAGUUUUAUCUCUACCAUUGAGAUAUGUUACCAUCUAAAAGAAAGGAAAGGGAAGGAAACAUGGGGAAAAAUAGGGAAAGGGCAAAGUGAUGAUAAAUAAAAUUGGAAGUAGCAAAAUGAGACAAGUGAAUUAUUGCAAGGGGUUAAGUGUAAAUUAUGUUUAUUUUAUGAGACCAUUUAGGCAGAAAGACUGGACUCUUUUAACGCGCCAAUCAAAAGUUCCAAUUGCUGAAAAUAACAGAAAAACUUGACUUUGUUUGGUUUGGCGUUUUUGGAGGUGGUUCAUGAAAAUUUUAUUGUAGUUUUUUUUUCAUCUUGAAAAAUAUACUUGUAAGAGAAAAAAAUGGUUUAAAAAAAUUGAGAGUUUUUUUUAAUAAAUUGUUUUCUAAAUAGCUCAGUCACCCAAUAUUUUCAGUAUUCCGACAAUGGCAUCCAUGUGGUGUCAAUUGUCAAACUUGCAACAAAGUUGAGAAGAGAAGGUUGUAGGUCUAGCGCAUACGUUGAAUAGCUCUAUCCCAUUAGAAGUAACACGAAGGAUUAGAACUCUUCUACCAUCUCUUUAUUUUCUUUUGUUUUUUCCUUCAAAAUUUUAUAUCAUAAUGGAGUUGGUAAAAUAGUACUACAUCAAUUUAUGGAAAGUUUACUAUUUCUCUGAUAAGGGAUAGUAAAAUUUACUUGUUAUGAGCGGUAAAGUUUUAAAGAUUAUGAAAAGAGAAUUGUAUGAAGGAAUAGAAGGGAAAAGAAAGGUAAGAAAAUGGAUGGAUUGUGUUUGGAUUGAUUUUGGGUGGGGAAAGGAGAGGAAACGGAAAGAAAAGGAAAUGGAUGGAUUGUGUUUUGCUCAGACAUCAUUUCCAUACAAAAAUAGACGGAAACAGAGGGAAAGAAAAUCUCGUUGAUGAUUUUCUUAUAAAAUGCCUCAAGCACCCAAAUUUAAACUUGAGUAACCAUGUAUUUCAUAGCUGUAGAACUUGCCAUUUGUGAAACCUGCUUUAGAUAUGAAUUGUGGGAUGCAACAGCAGGCUAGGAAUGUUUGACUAAGCAACUUAUGUAAAUAUUUUAUCGAUAAGUAAAGUUCCUCUUUUGCUGUUAAAAAAGAAGAGAGAAAAACCAUUCCUUUAAACAGCAUAUUUAGGUUUUCUUUCUUUCCCAUCCAUAUCUAAUCCAAAUAAGACAAAUGAGAACUAUUUUCCUCUACUCUCCUUAGUCCUUUCCUUUCUUUUUCACUAGGAUGUUUUAUUUAUUUAUCUUUCCUUUCCUUUGAUCCAAAUGGUUCCAAAAAGGGCACUAAUUAAUCUACAUUGAUCAGUUCCCUAUUUUUGUAUUAAUGUGCAUGUGCACGAUUCUGUGUACGUUCAUGUUGUGCACCAAAUCUUGUGAAUGAAAAAGCUAGAUUGUAAAUUUAAGUUGAAGAAACAUAAAACAAAAAGAGAAAAUGGAUUGGGUCCUUUAAGAGUAUCAGACUUCUAAACUCCAAGGAUUACAUAAUUUUCAUAUCCUUUGCUACAUAAAGAAGUGGCAUAGCCUUAACAAUGAAGUGUUGGAAAAACUCCAGAGGGACUGUGCCAUCCAUGAAAUCACAAAUCCACUUGCUAUACCAUGCAAUAAUGUGUAUGUCCUUGAUGAUUAAUAUAAUGAAACCAUGGUUCUAGGCCUUGAAGGAAGGAAUAAGAGCGAAAGUGGAGCUAGCAACAAAAUUUGCAGUCAGUUUGCAGGAUGGGAAGUUUGAUGUGCGUGGUGAUCCAGCCUAUGUGAGGGCUUCUUGUGAAGCGAGUUUGAAGCGGCUUGAUGCGGACUGCAUUGAUCUCUAUUAUCAACAUCGCAUCGAUACACGUGUGCCCAUUGAAGUCACGGUUUGCUCGUCUUGCCUUUCUUGUUUUUUAGCUCCACUUAUUCUUGAUGAAACAAAAGUUUGAUCAACUCCAAAUUUUGAAUAAUUCAGUUUCAUGUCCGUUUCAAUUCUUCAAAAGUUGCACAGAAAAGUUAGUCAACCUUAUGGUCUCGGAUAAUCUGCAGUAUGGUAUAGCUGAUUUUGCACAAGGCAUCCUGAAAAGUGAAAACAAUGAAAAUGUUUUGUAUUAGCUUGACGGUCCUAUAUACAGGUGGAUAUCAUGCUAUACAUUGUACAGUUUUCUUUAGAACGAAGAGACCUGAGCAUUCUCUUUCGUUUGAGAUAGGCUAUCUGGUUGAGUAAUGAUCUGCUAUUUACUUACCUUGUCAACCAUUUUCAGUUGGUGCCUAAAGCACUGCAGAUAGACAUUUAUUAUUGAUAUCUAAAAAACAUGGUACUCAUUUUGUUCAGAACACAUCUUUUUGUCUAAUUGUCAAAGCCAGCUGCAACUGCCCCAUUGACCUCUCCAAACAAUUCAAAGAUUUCAGCAGCUUGCUUACAUUCAGCUUUUAUGAAACAAUUUCUGUCUUCUUUUUCUCAUGUAAUCAGCAAAGAAUUGUCUUGGUUUCCCUGAGUAUUAGGUAGAAACUUUCUUGCAGUUUAAUCACUCAAAAUACAAGCAAGUAUAAAGGAAAUCAAGCAAAAUUGGCAACUGAUAAUUGAUAUGUACAGCCAUUAUUAUAUAUAGAAGUCAACAAUGCCAUGUAAUCAUAUUGGAGGAGCAUUAUGUUGGCAUGGUCCAGUAGAACUAAGUCCUCUGGUGGGCUGUACAUAGAGAAGUAUCACCAGAUGCUUAUUGCCAUUUUCAUCAAUUAGUGAUUUCAGUUUGACGUGUACUUUGUCCAUGACUUCGAUGAACUAGUGCAACUUUUACUUUUUGUACGUAAUAUUUUGAUUAUCUGCCUGAGUGUUGAAUGUAAUAAAUCAGCUUAGCAUCUUCUUGUCCAUUGAAAUUCUCUAGAUAGGAGAGCUCAAGAAACUGGUUGAAGAGGGUAAAAUAAAGUAUAUAGGUCUGUCUGAGGCCUCAGCUUCAACAAUUCGAAGAGCACAUGCUGUUCAUCCAAUAACAGCUGUACAGUUGGAGUGGUCAUUGUGGACCAGAGAUGUCGAGGAAGAGAUUAUUCCCACUUGCAGGUAGUGCAUAUAUUCUGCUGCAUUUUCUACAUGGUCUAGAAGAAAUAUUAAGUUCUAAAUUCAGUUUUUGGUAUAAUCUUUCAGAGAGCUUGGCAUAGGGAUUGUUGCAUAUAGUCCACUUGGACGAGGUUUCUUCUCAUCAGGUCCAAAGCUGAUCGAGAAUUUGGCUGAAGGUGACUACCGAAAGGUUUGUGCAUAUCGAAAAAGAUGGAGUUUUUGAGUAUACAUUGUUUAUAGUUCGAAUAAGUUUCUCACUCAUCUACUUUUACCACAUUCAGUGGCAAUCAUGCUUGAUAUCCCUAUUGUUGUCUAUCACAAGCAAUGGGUAGUAUCAAAUUUUAAAGUGCAAAGAUGUCAAAAGAGGAAGAAACUAUGUCACUUUUUAAGUAAAAGUCUCUUUACAGUUUUGAGGGGAAACUAUCAUUUUACCUUAGACUUCAAUUUCAUCAUUUAAUCUCAGGCACAGAACUCAUGCUGUCCUGUGAAACUAUCAUUUUUCCUUUACCAUUAAUCCUAAAACUGAGUUUCAUUGGUCAGAAAUAUACUUCAUAGUAGUACCUCCUCUAUCAUUCAUAGUAGUACCUCCAUCGUUCAAACAAACAAAAAUUAGUUGAUUUGUAUUUUAAGUUUCCUCUUUGAUGGGAAAUGUAUCUCAGAACUUAACUCCAACAGUUGAUGUUUCCUACGUGGAAUAUUCAGUCGAACUUGAUGCAUUGUUCUUUCCCCUGAACUUGUGCCCUUCAAACAGUAUUUCUGAUCAUCUUGAAGUAAUUAGUACCGUCUGUUCAUUACUCCCUCCCGAUUUCUUGCAUUAUAGUUUCCUCUUUAAUGGGAAAUGUAUCUCAGGAUCUACCUUCUACAAUUGAGGUUUCUUAGAGUACUCAGUCCACCUUACUGGAUUGUUCCUUCCCCUGAACUUUGUACACCUUAAACAAUACUAUCGAUCAUCUUGAAGUUAUUCAUAUUGUCUUCAUUUGUAGACGACACAUGCUUUGCUCCCUUUUGAAUUUCUGGCAUUACAGUUGCUUAAAUUUUGAAAUUCAUACAAUGUAGGAUAUGCCAAGGUUUCAAGCUGAGAAUUUGGAGCACAACAAGAACUUGUAUGAGCGGGUCAAUGCCAUUGCUUCAAGGAAGGGUUGUACUCCAUCACAGCUAGCAUUGGCCUGGCUCCAUCACCAAGGCAAUGAUGUUUGCCCCAUACCUGGCACUACCAAGAUUGAGAACCUCAAUCAGAAUAUAGGAGCUUUGUCUGUAAAACUGUCGGCCGAGGAAAUGGCGGAACUUGAAUCUAUUGCUUCUGCGGGAGUCAAGGGUGAUAGGUAUGG
rnacentral:lncRNA from 1 species